CACCACCACCACCUAUGCCGCCCGCCCCCUCCAUAACAUCCACCACCUCCAUUAUUUCUCUAACAACACAAUCUCCACCUCCAUCUUCACCAGCCCCAUCUUGGUCGCUGCUUCAACCUCCUUCCGUCCCGUUCAUGCUUCUUUCUCCACCUCGGCUCAACUUCAAAACUCGGCGAAGCCGCCACUAUUCCGGUAACACUCCAACCCCCUAAUUCAAGCCGCCCAGACCUCCGCUACAAUCAUCCUUCCGCCAUCUCCACCUUCACCUCCACCACCAUCACCACCAUCUGAAUCGAAAACGUGAACGGAUCUGGAGAUUCUGAGCAGUUUCUGGAACAUAUCUAGAGAUUAUGGGCAGUUUCUGCAAGUUUUUACUAAUUCCUACAACACAGAUCACUAAAUCCUAAAGGGAAUAUCACUAAAUUGUACUGAGAAUAUCACUAACUUGUAUUGGUUUCUAGUUUUUAUUUUAAAAGAUCAUGAGCCUAUGUGUGUGUGUGUGUGUUAUAUUUAUUUUUAGAAUAAUUUGAGAAACUUGCAAGUGUGAAUAUAUAGAUUAUACGGUUCAAAUCCUGUCGCCCAAUACUGCUUUAGGUAAUAUUUCUUCUAUUUCUUUUUUGUUUUCCAUUUUUGAUUUUCAAUAAUUAACCUAAUUUUUGAUCAAAGAUUAAAAUAAUAUAUUUAUUAUUUUGUAAAACUAAAAAAUUAUACUUUAAAAAAGAUAAUACAUAUCUUAUAAUGAUAUAAUUUGUUAAUAUAUUUUUACAUAUAUUAUAUAUAUAAAUUUGAGUAAUCAAUUGAUCAUUAGUGAUGAUAAUGGGUCGGAUCGGGUUGGUUUUUGAGAUUCAGACCCAAUUCACUAUAUUUCGGUUCGGUUCGGGUCCGGGUAUCUAAAAUGAAGAUCCAAAUCAAAUCCGUCGAGUAUUUUCGAAUUUCGGAUCUGACUCGAGUUUAAUUCGAAUACUUAAAAAAAUAAAAAUUAAAAAUUAUAUAUUUCUAAAAAAUGUGAUGAUUAAUUUUGUUAAAAUUUAAGAAUAUAAAAGGACUUCACAUGUUACAUUUCGUAUAAGAAACAUGUUAAAUAUGCUAAUUUAAUUAUUUAUAAACAUUCAAUAUAUCGUUUAUAUAUUUAUUAUAUUUUGAUUAUUAAAUGCACAAUAAUUAAGAAAAAUACAAUAAUGAUGAAAUGGAUGUAAAGUUGUAUGACACAUAUAAAAUUAAGUAAAAUGUUAAUAUACAUACCUAAUAAUUCAUAAUAUUAUAUAUAUAUAUAUAUAUAUAUAUAUAUAUAUAUAUAUAUGAUACACAGCACAAACUUAUAAAUUUUAUGCGUUCAACACAUAUAUAAUUUGAGUUACGUUUUUUUAAAAUAUUUAGUUGAACAUCGAUUAAAAUUGUGUUGUAAAAGUACAUAAACUAAUUUUUCAAUUUAAGAACUAAGUUAAACGUAUUAUAUAACUAAUAUUUAUGUUUCCAGACCCUACCCACACCCCAGAGGUAUAGUUUAAGCAUCUUUAUAGAUAUAUUCAACACAACGAUAAUUAGUGUUUUUCACCCGAUAUUGAACCCCAGUUAUAAAUGUGUUGAAUGCACGAUUUAUUUAUGCGUUAUUUUUAAAAAUUGUGAUGUUUUUUUCAAGAAUUUUCAACAUGGAUACUUCCUAUAACUAAGGAUUAACACGAUGGGAGAAUAAAAAAAUUCAAAAAAAGAAGUUUGUAACUUAAAUUUUUUUUAUUUGAUCUUAUCCCUAUAUAUAUAGGCUACUGAUCAAAUACAAACCACUAAAUGCGAAUCUUAAAUACGAACCAAGAGAAACUAGGCAUAUAUCAUAUAUGUCAUCACCCAUCCCUAGACGUCAUCACCAACCCGACCCCCACUCCCGACCCCACUCAAUCCAUCUCAGGCCCACUAAAACAUCACUAAGGCUCCGGACAGGACUUAGAGAGCUCCAGACAAGCUCAAGAGCCAAUAAUUUACCCCUUCCCACUAGGGUCCACCCACGUUUACUAGGCCCCAUUUAGGCCUUGCCAAGGCAAACCUCAGGGUCCAUAUUCGGGGCCCAUAACCCCUCAUACUUUUAAAAAGCAUUGGUUCGGAUUUAAGUUUGUAUAUAGUGUUUGUACUAGAGUAUGACUAUAUAUAUAUAUAUAUAUAUAUAUCGGUCUUUCUAAUGUGUGCCCAAGGGCACACAAUAAGCACCAACUCUCAUGAAAAUGGCUUCAUUUGAUUGGUGAAAUUGGUGUAAAUGCAGGGGGGCCAUCAACAUUUAUUAUCUAUCCACCAAUCAAAAGCUAGUAUUUUUAUGGGAGUUAGGGACUAAUGUGUGCCCAUGGGCACACCAUAGAAAAUUCGCAUAUAUAUAUAUAUAUAUAUAUAUAUAUAUAUAUAUAUAUAUAUUUAUCAUAGAUUUAUAUAUAAUAUUUUGUAUCGGAUUUUUAUCGGGUUUUGGAUUUCGGGGUGGGUCUCGAUUCAGAAUAUCUGAGAUCCAGAUUUAUAUCGAGAUCCAAACUUUUUUGGAUAUAAAAUUAAGAUCUAGAUCCAAAACAUCGAAUUCAAGCAGAUCCAAUUGGUUGUCGGGUAUCUACCUGGUCGGAUAAAACUGCAAGUGAUGAUUAACAGAUACUCCCUCCGUCCCAAUCAAUUCUAUACCGUUUUCUUUUUGGGAUGUCUCAUCAUUUCUAUAAUUUCCAAAAUAGCAACUUUUUAUAAUAUAAAAUACUACUACACCCACUACAUUCUCCCACUAUCUCCAUUAUAUAAUAAUAGAAACGCUAUUACACCCACUACUUUACUCCACUAUCUCAUACGGUAUCUAUUAUUAAAAAAUAUGUAGGUCCCACCACUUUACCCACUUUCCACCUAACUUUAAUCAUUUCUUACUUUUUUUUCUUGGUCUCCGUGUCCGAUCCCAAUGUAUAUAAUUCAUUGGGCCGGAGGAGUAUAAAGCAUGGAGCGAGGGAAUAUAAUAAUAAAAAGUUUUAAUGCCGAACUAAUGGGAGAAAAAAUCUAGGAGAGAUAAUAAGAGAAGGAGAAUAAGUAUAAAUGUGAAUCUGUAAUAUAAUUGUAACUGGCUUAAAAUGAACAAGUUGCUCCUCCUCCACUUGAAGAGAGUGUCUUUUUGUGGUGCAUCAAUAAUGGCGGGACUAUCUAUGGCCAUCAUUCCUAUAGUUAAAUUGGGAGGUUUUAUUUUAUCCCACGUUUUGCAACAAAGCAUAAACAAACAACCAUAGUUGAAAUGCAUACAAUUUACAAGUAAUAUCACCAUACUUUAUCAUGAUAAAAUUUAAUAAUUUUUUAUUUGGCAAACAAACAAAUCUGCAUAUGAGAUACACCCCAUCUUUUUCUUCGCCAUAAAUGUUCUACUUUUUGUAGGUGGUUCUACCUACUUCACUUAAAAAGGUGCCUUGUUUUCAGAUAUUCUGCAGGGGCUUAUUCACAUUCCAGUUUCUUCAUACCUCAAGGUAUCAACCUGGACUUCCCAUGUUUUUAUUUUUCUUCUUUUCUGUUGGUUUUUAUGUUCACACAUACAUGUGCACACAUUUUCACAUGGGCUUAGCAGAAACAAAGCUUUGUCCAUUUGGAAUUGCAGAUAAAGAUUUUAAUUGGUAUAGUGAUCCUUUGAAGUUUCAAUGUGAAAUUGAAGAAGAGUAUAUAAAGAUGAAGUGGUAAUCUUUGUAAAGAUAGGAUAUUUGUCCUUUUGCAAUGGAAAGGGAAGGAAUAUUUAGCAAAAAAAAAAAGGGGAAGGAAUGGAUUUAAUUUUUGAUUAAAGGUGUUACCUUUAGUUUAAAGAAAAUGCUUAAAUUUCAUUCAUUGAUUAGUACUUACUGUAAUGCAUGUGAUUUUGGAUUGAUUUUUAUGACUGCAAUGCUCUGUGUCCUUGUCUACUUUUCUCUUGGUGGUUCUGUUUGGUAAUGGUUGUUUGCAAAUGGUCAAGUUUGCUGUUCUUGUUAUGCUACUUACUUUAUGAUUUUGCAACUACUUGCUGAGAAUGGCUAAAAUUACUUGAUAUUCGAGAAUCACGAUUUCCGAAGUAAUUCCUGGAUAUGCAAAAAAAUUCUAACUUUUUUGUUUUUGCGAAAUAAAUAGAAUCUCAGCUUCAAUUGCAAUUAGUAAUGAGAACUUUAGAGAAAACUUAUCUGCAUUGGGGAAGUAAUGCCUUGAUUACCUUAGAAAUGCAAGAAUAUCUUUUCAUUAAUUCCACAGUAAGAUAACUUUGGAGGAAACAUAUCUGCACAUUUAUUGAGGAAAUCUUUAGGAAAAAUUAUAUAUAAAUGUGACCUUGUUGAUUACAGGAUUCUACUGUGAGAAUCUGAUUGAUGUCACAUUAUUACUUUAAUCUGAUCGAAAACCUUAUUUACUACCCUGCACAUAAAAGGGGCAUUCUCCAUCAGAUAAAUUACCAAGAGUUUCUUAGUCUUAGCUGUCUAACUUGUAGCUCCCUGUUUCAAAAUUUUGUAGAUUGUUUUGAUGGGGAAGAUAACAGUGACCAGUUUGCUACUUGGAAUACUCAUUCAUGUAAUUGUGGUAUAUGCUGAUGUAAAGAACUUGAACAUAUGGCCCAUGCCAAGUUCGGUGUCCCAUGGAUACAACACUCUUUAUAUUGCGAAAGAUUUUAAGCUAAGGACAUAUCAAAGUAAAUAUGCUGAUGCCUCAGGAAUUCUGAAGGAUGGAUUUACAAAGUUAGUUGACAUCAUCAAAGGAGCCCAUGUUAUAGAUUAUAAUUAUCCUGGAUCUAGUUCAUCCGCAAUUUUACAAGGAAUUCAUGUUAUUGUUGCUUCGCCAAGUGAUGAGGUAUUUCUUUAUAUCACUUGUCCGACUUCUUAUAAACUAUUAUUAUAUAUUAUAUCCCCAGCUUCUAUAUUAUGCUUGUAAACACUCAUUUGGUCAAUGUAUAUGAGUAUUACAUACUCUUUUACAUAUAUAUUUUUUCUUUUCUGUUGUUCCUGAUAUCAUAUGUGAUAGAUCUUUUUCUUAUCUGUUUUAAGUAUACAUGAGUCCAGAAAAAUAUACCAAGUAAGUAUAUUUGUAUUACUAUCAGUAAUACAAUUUUUUUGCUUUCUACAAGAGAAUCAUAUUCAUGUUUAUGUGCUUCACUGCUCGACUGCUUGUGUAUUAUUUUUUAAAUAAUAUAUUGUAUCUUUCUCCAUUGUUAUUGAAUUCCUUGUGAUGCAGUUACAAUAUGGUGUUGACGAAUCUUACAACUUAGAUGUCCCUAUGCAAGGAAAGGCAGCAUAUGCACUUCUUAAGGUUGGUUGAACUUCUAUAUUUGCGAGUAAAAGUCUACUCUGUGCAGGUGUUGUAUAUAUUGUUUCCCAGUAUGCAGCACAUUCUUUGUUGCAUACUUGUCCUGUCUUUGUUGGUCCAUGCAGUCAAUUCGACUGAAUGACUAGGAAAAGAGUGAGAUUCUAGCUUUACCACCAUGACUUGUAUAUACUUAUAUAUAUGUAUAUAAGAUAUUUUAUAAUUGUAAAAUCUAUUUUCUCCGGAGAGAAAUGUUUUUUGUGACAGCAAUCUAAUGCACAUCCCUGCCAAAAUAACUUUAAGUAUGUUCCGCAAUGUAAGUAUUAACAAUAAUAGUUAUAUUUAUCUGUUCCAAAGUAGAUGGCCAUUCACCAAUAUGUUAUUACAUUAUACUGAUAUAAGAGCUUAGAGAGUCAUCUUAGAGUUUUAUAUUACAUAUAGUCAUUGUUCUGAUUAUCAAUAUAAACUAUUAUUUGCUCUUCCUCUAUCUGGCUUAGGGAUCCUUUAGGGGAUUCAGAGUACAAGGAUAAAUAAAUUUGGGAGAGAACUUGUUUGCUGACUUCUGUAUUGUUUUUUAGUUGGAGGCUAUGUAAUUCUUAACAUAUACUUUCUUCACGUGUCAGAUUUGAUAUCAUGACCAUGAUUCCUUUUUUUUUUUUUUUUUUUUUAUAAAUAAAGACUCAGAGUGCAUUCAUAAACUCAUGCAACUAUGCAAGCCCUGUNNNNNNNNNNNNNNNNNNNNNNNNNNNNNNNNNNNNNNNNNNNNNNNNNNNNNNNNNNNNNNNNNNNNNNNNNNNNNNNNNNNNNNNNNNNNNNNNNNNNNNNNNNNNNNNNNNNNNNNNNNNNNNNNNNNNNNNNNNNNNNNNNNNNNNNNNNNNNNNNNNNNNNNNNNNNNNNNNNNNNNNNNNNNNNNNNNNNNNNNNNNNNNNNNNNNNNNNNNNNNNNNNNNNNNNNNNNNNNNNNNNNNNNNNNNNNNNNNNNNNNNNNNNNNNNNNNNNNNNNNNNNNNNNNNNNNUUUUUUUUUUUUUUUUUGUCAUAAAUCAUCACCAUGAUUCUGAUUUCAAAACAAUUCAUGUCUGCCUAAGAGUCUUCCAUGUACAAUUGUAUUUCAUUAAAAGUUAUAUAGUACUUGAGCAAGUUUGUGUAUUCAGGAGGAUUAUAACAGUUCAUAGUACUAUCAAAGGGAUUAAGAGGAGUAACUAAAAGUUUAAUUGCUUUUAUUUAUAUCAAAAGAAAAAUGUAAACAAAGUAGUGUUUGUAACUUAAUACACAAUCAUUUACGUAUGUUCUAUUUAUUUUGUACCUUUGUAAUCUUUUUACCCGAUCAAUGAUGAGUUACCAAUAUUUUUAUUUCUUAAAGAUGUUUGUGAAUGUGACAAAGAUUGCCAGGACAGAAAUUUGAAAUUUGAUGAUUUGAAAAGAAAUAAUUAUAGGGGCCGCUGAUAAGGAGUGUCAUAUAUGAAUGGCAUUAACGUGGUCAUGCUUAAACAUGGCCUACUUUGUUUUCUACCUAGCCAAACUAAUUCCAUGUGCUACUUAAAGACCCUAGCAUUACCUUGCAAAUUUCAUUAGGUGUAAUCCUUUGUUUAAUGUAAAGGACCAUGGAAAAAGAAAGUGUUACUACAACUCUGCAAACAAGUUAUAUGCCAUGUGUAAUCUUAUGGAGCGAUAUAGAUGCUAAACUAAUAAUAUUUCUUUUUGUUUGUAAUCUAACAUGUCUGAAGUGACUUCCAAUUUCUUUAUCAGUAGCUUUGUAGUUAAAUAGUUGCUCCGUAUCAUGGAUGUAAAUGCUCAAUCUUUCUUUUAGUAGAGUUAAUUAUUCAUAUGUCUUUAAAGGUCAAAUCAAGCAUGCUGCAAAUAAAUUUACUAGAAUUGAAUAUAGUUAAAAGAAAUGCUUCCAGACAUAAGUGUUAACUUCUAUUCUGAUAUGUUUACUAUUUUGUUAUGCUUAUCGAUAAGCUUUGACAUUUUAUGUAGGCACAGACAAUUUAUGGGGCACUGCAUGGCUUGCAGGUUAUCAGUUCUUCCUGAUGAAACCCUAUUACUUUAUUUUCUAUUUGUUCAAUUUUAUAAAGCUCGGACAUUGUAAAAUUUUGUUUCAGACAUUCAGCCAAUUGUGCAAUUUUAACAUUAGCACAAGAGCAAUCGAAGUUCGUCAGGUUCCCUGGACUAUAUCUGAUCAACCUAGGUUCUCUUAUAGAGGCUUGCUAAUUGGUGAGCUGAUUCUUUAAUUAUCCUCACUACAAAAGAUUUGAAUGUGUUUUGGGUUGUGCAAUAUUGGUGUGACCCGCCACAAGUCUUUUAUUUUUGCUAAAUGAACCGUCAUACUUUGAUAUUAUUGCAUGCAUUGUAGUUCAUUUGUAAAUUAGCCUCUAGCCAACAUCCUGGACAACACUCGUGAAUAAGUAAUGCUUCAUUAAUAUGUUAAGAUAUGCAAUUGUUUUUUAAUUGGAAGUUGUCCUGUUGAGUUGAGAAACUAAUAAGUUUGUCCCAACUGCUGGCAAAAUGCUGCAGAUACAUCUCGCCACUAUUUGUCAUUGCCAGUGAUAAAGAAGGUUAUUGAUUCAAUGGCUUAUGCAAAGCUGGUGAGUAACUUAAACAUUGCCUUACAUUUCUAACAUAUUUUUUAUGGCAAGGGCAAACAUCUACUCAAAUAUAAUUUAUUACAUAAGCAUAGGAAUCUGUCUCCUGUCCUUGUCUGAAUAAUUUCGAAACUCUGUUAUGGUACAUUUUUGCAACAAAACUCAACACAAAAAUUCUUCCAACAUGGAUUAAGGAGUGGAGCCUCAGAUGGCGUAAUGUAGCAUUAAACAUUUCCUUUGAAUUAUUUCACUAAACUCUGCAGUGAGAAACAAUACUUUCAUACGAAUGCUGUAACUCUUAAGAUUAUGUACGAUCCAAUUAGGCUUUCCUCCUAUAAUAACAGCUCAUGCUACAUAGGUUAAUCAAAAAUUAGAUCUUUUUUAUAGAUAAAACGAAGUACAUUUGUGUGCCACAGUGCUACUAAUGACAAAACACAUGCCACCAGCCAUCUUGAUUGCUAAUCAUUAAAAACAAAAACCAUGAAUCAGCUCAGUAUUAUCCGUUCUGGUUAGGAUGUCUCCAAUAUGUUCUCUCUGUUCACUAUUCGUUCCGUAUCCAAUGUGUUCUUCCUUCAGCUAUGGCCAGAACUAAGAUAAAUUAGUCAUACUCUGUAUAAUAACACCAGAUAUGUAGGUUUUGCAGUCUAAAUUUGUGCUGUAGCUGGGCUGUCAUACGACAGUUUGAUUUUCAGUCUAAUUUUUUGCUGUAGCCUGUAUCUCAGUUCUUCUGAACUUCAUACAUAAAUAUCCUAGAGGACUAACAUGUACACUCUAUCUUACAAGUCUUAUCACAUUCCUUAAGAGAAAAAAUGGGCAAGUGGAAAUGAAGGAAAUGCCACCACUAUGUCUGGGCCGUAUUCUUACCCAAAUUUAUCAAAUUGUUCUUCCGCUGUGGGCAAGUUGAUAUGAGGUCACCAAAAAUUCUAGUGAUAGGUGUUUCAAGCAGACGUGAAUGCAUGGAUUAGAAUUCUUUAAUCGUACACUUGGGUUCUUUGAAAUGUCCCAUGAUGUCCUUGCUAUGUUCUUAUGUGUGUGUGUGUGUGUGAAUAUUUUAAUUUUGAUAUAAGAAUUUAUAUGCUGAACAAAAAUCAUUUUGUAAUUAUGCAGAAUGUGUUACAUUGGCACAUUGUAGAUACACAGUCAUUCCCUUUAGAGAUACCUUCAUACCCAAAAUUAUGGAAUGGUGCUUAUUCUCUUGAAGAACGAUAUACAAUGGCUGACGCUGCUGAGAUUGUGAGGCAAGUCAGUAUUACAUCUUCAGAGUGCAAUUGGAUUCUACAACGCAUGUCUAAAUAUUUGUCAAUAUUUGCAGAUAUGCUCAAAGACAAGGAAUUAACGUACUGUCUGAGCUUGAUAUUCCAGGGCACGCACAAUCCUGGUAGGCAGUCUGAACACAUUUCACAUUAUACUUGACUCCGCUAUUAUCUGUUUUCAGGAAUUUUUGAUUGAAAACAACAUUUUAUUCUGUAGUGAAGUGCAUUAUGUAUACCUGCAUUACGUCAUCUCACUUGUAUUGUUACACCUCCGAAACUGCUACUUGUAGUAAUUUCAUGUCUGUAUUUGUUUUAGGUAUGUUUGCCUUGACCCUGAAAUAUAGUAUUUGGAAUUAACAUUUAACGGAAAAACACUCAUAAAGUUAGCUAAACUAGAUGAAAUGUGCUUAUAUCUGACAAAACGUAUACUGUGGUUGUGCGACUGUCAAAAUUAGUAUAUGUCGGUUAAAAUAUUAUUUUAUUGUGAAUAUAGGUUUCAUAAGCUUAUAGAGAUUAUUAGUUGCAAUCUUGAAUCAUUCUAUAUUUUUGAAAGAGAAAUGUUUGGUUAUAUACCUAAAAUUUUAUUCCAAUUCUGAUCUUUCGAUGGCUUUUCGGGUAGUAUCUAAAGAUGUAGUUUAUUGGUAGGACUAACCAAUAAACUACAUCUUAGUCUCUUCUCUCUGGAGUUGCCUAUAAAUUUUUGAAUAAUUUUAUAUAUAUAAGUUUUGAUCUUUCAGUUGAGACUGGUAUAUAUGAUACUGAUUUAGCUAUUUGUUGUUAUUUCCCGAGUAUGUUCUGCCGACUGCUAUAUUUAAUGUAAUUUUCUUAUUUAUAACCAAAAUGUGUGAAUCAACUUCGUGCACCACUACUGAAUGAAGUAGAACAUAGUGUUUGGUAAAAUGUCAUUGUAUCUCUCAAUUUCCACCAAUGAAAAUUUACUUACUACAGAUUUUUCUAAUUGCUUGUUAUGAUGACUACUGUCUAAUGGUGUAUUUAGGGGGGUUGGUUAUCCUUCAUUAUGGCCAUCAGACAAAUGUAUGGAGCCACUUGAUGUCAGCAAUGAAUUUACCUUUAAGUUAAUAGAGGGGGUUCUCUCUGGUAAGUUGGUAGCUUUCAUCUCGAAACUGUUGCCUUUGACUUUGUAAUGUCAAUGUAAGAGCGUUUAAUAUUUACACAAAUUUCAGAUUUCAGUAAAAUCUUCAAAUAUAAAUUCGUUCACUUGGGAGGCGAUGAAGUCGAUACGAGUGAGUUCUCCUUCUGUUCAUUUAAUGGAUUUGACAGUUGAUGCAUAUACCUUGCUUUUAAGCUUUUUACCGAUAUUCAUCAUAGAAUAUGUGCAGUAUUAAAUUCUUUUUCUCUCUUUGGUGUGUGAUAAACUAAUAAUGCUUUAUAGAAUCUUGAAUUCAAAAUCCUAUUGCUUAGUAUCAGUGAACUGGAAUAGUAGCAUUAUAUAUUGUCUUUAGUAUGAUGUCUCAAAGUAACACUAGUUUCCGUCUUCUAUGUUUCUUAUAUCUGAUAUUAUACAGACUCUGAAUUUUGAUUGGGCUCUUUAAUGUCCUGCAUUGUUCAGCAACCAAAUAUUUUUCAUUGCAGUGACAAUAAUAGGAUGACAUAACUAAACACAUAAAUCAAGCAUAAGUUUCACUGCAACCAAGUCUAUCUAGUCACACCUUCGUCCCUCUAUAUUUAAUUGCCAAAGCUUGCUACAUUUUGCUAAGGAAGAGAAAAAGCUAGAAAAGUUUAUUUCUGAAAAUACUGUAAACUGCAUGUAUACUUCUAUACAACAUUACAUAACUGAAUAAGCCUUUUGUUUUAGCUUUACACUCUCAUCAAAUUCACAUCUUCAUAUUAAGUCUUCUAGCUACAUAUGAUCGAGUAAUUGGAAGUAAUACUCUAGACAAAUUCAUGAUGUAAUCUUCUAUCUCGCAUUUAAACAUGUAUUGGAAGAAAAGAAAUUGAAAAUUUGUAUCCAAAUCAUAUACCGUUGGACUUGGUGCACUUUCAUAUUCCAUGGCAAAAUGUUGUGAUAGACUCUGUCAACAUCUUUAUAGUCAUCAUCAAUAAGCAUUUUUAACCAUAUCUGCACAAUUUUUACAGAUUUGCAUAGUAUAUAUUUUAUUCUUUAUAAUGAUGAAUAACCAAUAGAUUCAUUGGGUUUAAAUUUUCAGCUUGCUGGGAAAAAACACCUCAUGUAAGCGAAUGGUAAUUAUCUUGAAACCCCAGCUUUCUCUGUUCAUAGCAAGUAAAACGUAGAUUGACAUAGUAGUUCUGAUGGAAUGCAUAGAUCAGAUAUAUAAAUUUUGUAUACCUCAUUUUAGUUUUCCUUUCAAGAAUACAAUCAAGAUGCAAACAGUAUGUUUCCUAUGUAGAUUUAGAACUGCAUUAUGUUGUAUCAUUCACCAUGACAAUCCUGAUUCUGCCUCUCCGCACAUCUCAGUAACCAGUACUGCUAGAAAUAUUUUGUUAAGUUACCAGGAAUCUUGCAGUCAACAAAUCUGAAACAGCAUUUUCUUGCUAUUCAAGGCGAAGUCCUUAGAGUAAACACUAAUUCCCGCCUGAUGAUCUCUAUGAUCAAGUCAUGUCAGUCAUUUAUGUUUAUAUUAGUGCCUAAUACGAUAACUAUGUAAUAUUUAAUGAAAUAUAUGCUCUGUUUUACAGGUUAAAGAAAAAAAAUAUGAAUGGCACUGACGCUUAUGAGUAUUUUGUCUUGCGAGCACAGAAAAUUGCCAUGUCGCUUGGAUAUGAAGUUGUCAACUGGUAUAUAUCAUGCUAAACUAAAUUUCCCUAUUGUAUGGAUAUGAAUCUUGAUUAAAUUACUACCUAUUGCAGGGAGGAGACCUUUAAUCACUUCGGCAAUAAAUUGGACCGCAAAACUGUAGUCCAUAACUGGUAUUUUCUGCAAAUUUCCUACUUCUGUAUAUGCCAAUAGAAAUCAAUCAAUUAGUUGCCAAUUCUUUUUCUUCAAUCAAAAACAUGUAUUCUGGUGCUGCAUAUUUAAGAUAAAUGAGUUAUUUGUUUGCUUUUUUCGUAAAAAUCUUGCAUAAAAUAUUUAAUGGAGAAACUUACAGCGGUCAAUAUCUCUGUUAUCAUCUCAAUUGAGUUUUACUUUGAUCAAAUUGAUUAUCUCCUGUAUAUUUUAUUAGUAGACUAAAAAUGGUUGUUCUGCAAUUAAAUGAAAUGAAAGCAAAUAAGAACCUUAACAAAUCCUAGAGUGUGGAUGACCACUGUUAUGCCAAUUUGCUUCUUACAAAGCCCCAUUAUUUCACUAAUUUUCACUUUAAUGUCAGGCUAGGGGGAGGUGUUGCUGAGCGAGUGGUUGCAGCUGGGUUGAGGUGCAUUGUAAGUAAUCAAGGCAAGUGGUAUUUGGACCAUUUGGAUAGCACAUGGCAAGAUUUCUACAUGUAUGAACCACUCACAAACAUUACCAGCCCUGCAAAACAGAAAUUGGUUAUUGGUGGUGAAGUAUGUAUGUGGGGUGAGCACAUUGAUGCCUCGGAUAUUGAACAAACAAUAUGGCCACGUGCCGCAGCAGCUGCAGGUACUCUUUCGCAUUCCUCUGAUGAAUCUACAACAUUGAAAACUAAAAAUAUAUAUCCUGUCUUCGUAAUGUAUUUCGUAAAACAAUGAUCUUGGAUAAAGAAACAAUCAAGUGAUGUACAUAUUUGUCAGGAAACAGAGAUGUCAGAUAUUGACUAUAGUUUUCUGUUGCCCUUAAAUCUUGAUAAAUCAUGUAGUGCAAAAGUUUAUUGUGUAUUUGUACUAAAUGAACUACCAAAGGCAACAGACUUAGUAUGUCACUUGGUGCAAGUAAGCUAAGUAUGUAAUCUCUUGCAUAGAUACUGAUUACUGUCUCAUAAUGUCCCAUGGUUAUUGUGAAAUAAGUUACUUAACACCCCUUUGGUCAAAUAACGUACCACCAUUUUGAGUCUGAUUUUCGAAAAGAAACAUUUAAAAAUAGGACUGUUCAAGUAUUCCGGUAUCCAAAGACAUCCAUACAAGUGUCCAAGUAUCAAACGCAAGUACUUCAGUAACCGAACGAUCCUGUUUGCCUUUGAAGUAAUUUUUCAAAUCCAGUCGGCUUCCUUGGUGUUUAGCACAUAGUAAGCAUAAACUGAUCAUAUUAAUAAGACCAGUAGGCUUCCUUAAAGAAUAGAAAAUCAUAUUUAUAAGAUUAUGUGGUCCGUAUUCUUACAUUCUUAAUUUGUUAAUUGCUGUAGUUUAGGAAUUUUUACAAUGAAAUGCAGGAGGAUUAUAUACUACAAUCAUUUGACAUUUUUUGUUCAUUUUUGUCCAUUGAAGAGAGGUUGUGGACAUCGUCCAAUCAGCUGGCUAAAGAUUCGCAAGAUGUAUAUCCAAGAUUAUCGCACUUUAGGUGUCUUUUAAAUCAAAGAGGUGUUGCAGCUUCACCAGUAAAUGGGUAUGGACGGAAUGUCCCAUCAGGUCCAGGCUCCUGUUACCAACAAUAGUCCGAUGAAUUGAUGACGACCGAGUUUACUAAUAAUAAUAGAAAUGGAAAUGUUGAUGAAAUCCAGUGGUACCGUAAUGCAGCAGCUCAUUUUUCUUGGUUUUUACAGAGUAAAAGUUAGAUGUUGGACAACAUGUUUUCUUUGCAUGUCCAGUUGCUUAAACAUUUUUAUCUUUCUGUAGCCAUUAGAGCAUACUCACAUAUCCAAAACAGAGAUGCAAAAAAGCCUGGACGGCCUGAGAUAACCGGAAAAAGUCCGGCCUCGACCGGGACCUUCAACGUGCCAGGCUCGGCAAAACUCCUGUCUUAUACAGAUUUUUUAAAAGCUGGUCCGUCCGAUUAAAGUUCUUAUAAGAUUUUAUUAAUAUAAUAAGUUUAUUUAUUUAUAUAUGUUUUUGAUAUUGUAAAGAAAAACUAAUUUAUACACACAAAAUCUUUACAUAUCAACGACUCAAAUGAUUAAAAGUAAACAAUUUAAUGUAAGUAUGUAUAUUUGUUUGACAUGAUUAGAUUAGAUUACAUUAAAUAGACAUGUAAUUAAUUAAUUAGUUAAAAAGAAAUGCAAAUUACCUGAAAGAUUAAAACAUUAAUUUAAUAAGAGUCCAAAUUAGCACAAUUAUUUUUUAGAAUUCGAUCAGACUUGGUCAGGUUAUAAUCAACAUCCGGAAUGAAUAUUUAAAAUCCAUAUCGAAACCACAUUUUUACUAAAAUUCUAUAAUAUUCUCUAUCCCAUUCAUUUUUAUAUAAUUUUUUUUUUGGGAUAUUCCACUAAAUUAUAUACAUUUUUAAAAUAGUAAAGUUUUGGUAGUCGUUGAUAAUCCCUACUCUAUUGACUGCAACUUCUGUAGUUAUUACGAUUUUCAUUGUUGCUUUAUAUUAUAAAAAUUUAACUACAUUCAUUAUUUUUUAUCACAACACUCACUCUACACAUUAUAUAUUAAUUGGUCCACUAAUUUAAUUAUUUCUUACAUUCUCUCAAUAAAUUAUACUUUUUUUAAAUCUCCAUCUCUUACCCCUCAUUAUAUACUCCAGGGGCAGGAAGGAAUAUAUUUUAGUAUCCGAUUAAACUCGUACUCAAAUUAUUUUUUUUAUGCAUCAUGCAUUUCUAAUCCUCGAAACCUAAUAGCCUUGGCGUACUUCAUCCCCACCUCCACCCUCAUCAUCUCAACCACCACCUCUACCUCCUGUCCACCACUUCCAUCUCUAUCUCCAUUAUCCCUCCACAACAAGCAGCACCAGAAUCGACAACAAGAACAAAUCUAGAUGCUUUCAUCAAUUUUUGCAACACAAAUCACUAAAUUAUACUGAUUUUUUUUUUUUUGCUUUUAUUUUUGUGAGAUCCCGAAGAAUCAUAUAAUAAGGAGUUGAAUACGAUACUCACUAUAAUUCAAAAUUAUUUCAAAUCUUGUGGAUAAAUAAAUUAUAACCUUAAAAUGAGUUUCGUGUUCCAUAUAUUUAUCUAGUCAAAUUUCUAAGGAUAUAGAAAAUAUUAAUCCAACACAUGAUAUUUUCAAGGUAGAUCUUUUUGUUGAUAAAACGUAUCCAAAAUCCGUAGGUAGGCUAAAUGACUAUUAUUAUGUACACUCACAAACCCAACACACAGAUGUGUACACACACAAAAUGCUACUUUCCAAAGAUAUAUCUUAUAUAUUUCUUUGUGAAAAUUUCUAUUUUUACAAGAGAAUGAUGAGAACUUUAAAAAAAACAUAAAACUUUUAUAACAUUCGGAAGAGAAGCAUGGAACAACUCAAACAUAGUAUUAAUCGUCCGAAUAAAUAUCACCAACAAUUCAAAUUUUUCUCUUGCCAUUAAAAUGAUAAUAAUAUAUAAAAUACGGCAUUUAUUAUUACAUUUAACAGUUGUUUUUUUUUGAAAAUAAUUACUACAUUUAACAGUUAUUCACUAAGCUAAACAGAAAGGUAACCUUGCAGCAGAAACAACAGUUGCGACAAUCAUAUACGAACCCGUUUACUUGGCUAGCCUAGCUAUGCGUCUUUUCCAACAAGCUAAUUAAUUGUAUAUCCACGCUUUAAAAUGGAAAGCCAUUAAGAAGACACACAAAAGCUGUGAGCCUAGCUCUGUCAAGUCAUUGCAUUGUUAACUUCUACUAUUUAUUUAUUAAAUACUUAGGAAUUAAAAGACGAUUAACGUGCACAUAUAUAUACUAUGCCGCAAUAGAACAGUGAACCAACAAAUUAACUGUAGCAAGAAAUGCCAACAGUGAUACUUUAACUCAUCGCAAACUGUAGAAGGCAAUACAAAUAUUAAUAAUAAAAUUAAGGACUCAUUAAUUAAUUUCACUAUGUUCGAUCAUGAGUAAGAACAGAAUUCUGAUAUAUAAACCUAAUUAGAUAGAUAACUAAUUAAUUAAUACAGAUCUGUAUAUAAGUAAUUUUGGAGCUAGGCAUGCAUGAUGCAUGAUAUGAUAAUUAAUUAAUUAAUUAAUUAAUCAAAGUUUCACCUCUCAUCUCCACCAGCAACCCUAGGUUGAGGAAACUGACUCAUGGGUCCCAUUCCGAGGAGAUUACUAGCAUCAUAGCUCAUGGUGGUUCCGUCGAAUGUCCUGAUCACCUGUUGCUGGUGAGGAAAGAACUGGUGGUGAUGGUAGGGGACGGGGGAACCUGUUCCCCCGUUCCCUAUCAGAUUGAUCCCCAGAUUCUGAUGACUAGUUGCCGCGGCUGCAGCAGCCGCGGCAGCUAUGAGGCUAUGACUAGUAAUACUCCCCCCACCGACCCCGACCCCGACGCCUCCAAUGUGAUGGUUCUGGUACUUGGAGAGCUCGGACUUGGCACAGCUGAGGUCCAUCUGGAGCUGACGGAGUUGGUGCUGGAGGAGGGAGAUGACGCCAACGCAGCCGUAGACCGGGUCACGGAUCCGCAUGUCUGCCUGAUAAGCCAGGGAGUUCACAGCAUCUUCGCGUUGAUGGGGGUGCAGUUCGUUGAGAAGCUUUGUGACAUUGCUGGCUCCGAAUACUUUGUGCACACUUGCAAAUUUUUGAGGCUGGUCUGGUGGGAAGUACGGUGCAAAAACGCACUCGGGUUGACAUUUCCGACGAAGAAAUUUGCAUGCUGCACAAGGGGAAUUCGAGGCAGAGGCCAUCUUUUCCGGUACCUUAAUAACCAGCUAGCUUGUUUUUAGAAUAUUAUUCCUUUGGUUGGUUAUGAAAGGGCUCCUGCAUUAAAAGAUUAACAAGAAAAUUCGGAGGAAUUAAUACAGGUAUAAAAAUCACUACAUCUGUCACAUCUGUCAAUAUCAUAUAGACAAGGUCUUUUAACGAUUGUGAUUUGUAGUAGUUGAAGGAGUACAAUCGAAGUAUAAUGUUUCAUCUGCUUACUAUUCAUGUUAUUUUAAUUUUUGUUUAAACUUCUCGUUUUGCAAAAAUACAUAUAUUUACCGAGUGAUAACAAGCAUAGCUUAAUGAGAUUCAGCAAAAUGGCUCUAAAUUCAAAGCUUCAAAAAUUUUGUGUAAAUGUAUUUAAAGCGACAGGAAGGGAAAAAAGAUUUCACCUUUUAUAAUUGCAGUACCUAGGAAGAUCCGGCUUUAUUGCACCCAGAAAACAGAAGGAAUGAGAUACAAGGCAAUAUUUCGUCUUUGUAGCCUUAACUUAAAAGAUCUGUGAAAAAAGAAAAGAGAGAGGUGAUGUAAGUAGAAACAUAUCAAACAACUAUGAAGAACAAAAGUUUAGACAAAGCAAAAGUUCAUUAAACUGCAGCUCUCUCCCUCUCCACAUCUCUCUCUCCCUCUCUCUUGUCUCUCUCUCUCCCUCUCUCUUGUAUCUCUCUCCCUCUCUCUCGUCUCUCUCUCCCUAUCUCUCUCGUAUCUCUCUCCUUCUCUCUCGUCCCUCUCUCUCUCCCUAUGUCUCUCUCUCUCCCUCUCUCUCGUAUCUCUCUCCCUCUGUGGAAAGAUUUAUAUGAGAGAUCUGUCUAGCUGUAGAUGUAGUAGGGUUUCAUAGAAUAGCCAUAUGAUGGGGGCAAAAAGAGAGAAGAAAAAGAUGGAGUUUGAAGAUCGGAUCUCGUGAAAGGAAGAAAAGAGGUCCUUGUUUCGCUAUUUCCAAUAAGAGUCUCUGAAGAAAAAGGAGAGAAAGAGAGAUAGAUAACUUGGUUUACCUGUUAGGAUCGAGUGAGACUUUUAAGAAAAGGCUGGGAGUUCUUGGGAUGAACUCAUAUCUAUAUACUCACACAUGUAAUAAAAUGUUAAAGAAAGAUAAUAGUAGUAAUAUAUUUAACAGGAGGUGGCUGAAUAAGAGAGAAGAGAAUAGAAUAAGAAUAGAAUAGGAAUAGAAGUCUCAAAUUCUUCGAUUCUUUCUUGGGAGUUUGGGAGAGGCUAGCUAGGCUUCCUCGAUCUUUUCAGUCAAACCCUCAUUUUUUAUUUAUUUUCUUUUUAUUCUUUUUGUGUAUGCCUUGAAUGCACAUGCAAUGAUAUGGACUGAUCACUGUCUUGAUUUUAGCUAAAAUUAUUCAUUUCUAUUUGUAAAUUAAAAUAAAUUUAUAUUCCCUCAGUCUGGUGUUACGUUAUUUUUUGACACGUAUUUUGAGACUCUUAUAGUUUCAUACUCCCUCCGUCCCUUCCAUUUCUUUACACUUUCCUUUUUGGGUGUCUCAUCCAAUUUUUUACAUUUCAAAACUUACCAAAAAUAGUCAAUGGGUCCCACUACUUCUCCACUUUUCUUUCCUUUUCACACUACUUUUACUCAACUAUCUUUUUUUAUACAUUAAAAAUCAAUGGGUCCCACCACUUCACCCACUUUUAUUUCUCUUUUUCACUACUUUAUACAUAUUUCUUAACCUCCGUGCCCAACCCAUUUGAUAAGAAAUGAGAGGGACGGAAGGAGUAAUAUUUUUUUAAUUUUUUCCUUUAUAUAAAAGUUUGACGUCUAAAUAUUUAUUAUAAAAAUAUUAUGAAAUUAAAUUUUAUAAAAAUAUCAAAAUAUGUGCAAAUAGUGAAUAUAAACGAUUGAUGAGAUGGAAAAAUAGUAUCAAGCUUAUUAAUGAAUAUAUCUUCUUUGUUUGGGAAUUAAUUGAUAUUCACCUACCAAGAAAGAGAGAGACAGAAGGAAUUAAGCUUGCAAACCCUACCCCUCUGUAUGUACUGUCAAUUCUGUCUGUAUGUUCUGAUCUGUUCCAUCCUUUUCCUUUUUACUUCAUUUCAACGAUACGUACAUACAUACUUUUGAGUGUAUGUUAGUUACAUACAUGACAUGAGGCUACGUUAUUACACAACAUUUCCAUUUGUUUGUACAAAAAGAUUUGAUCCUUUAUUAUCAUGUUCGAAAUCUAUUUGCUAUGUACAAGUAGAACUAGCUAACUGUGUCAUCGAUGCCACUCGAAACAGGAUGAAAACAUUUAAAACUUUUAUAAAUUAUUUUAGAACUUUUUUCUUUUAAUUAGAGAUGUAAUAUUUAAAUUUUUAUUCAGAAAUUUUUUUAAAAUGAAUUAUAAAAAUAUACUUUAUAAGAGGGUAAUGACAAACCGUACAGAAUGGGAUCGAGGAAAUAUAAUUUAUUUUAAUGAUGUGAAUUUCAGCUCAACGCUUUAAGACUAUGUUUCAUAGUAACUCCCAAACUUACGAACAAGAAUCCAUGGAUAAAUUAUGUGAAGCAACUAAGAUUCCUGAUAAUCUGCAAAAGGUAUUCUCCAGCCUUUACCUCUAGUUCUCGGACAAGCAACACUGCUGAAUCUCGGAGGAAAUAAAGGUGCAGAGACUAAUUGAAGUUGAAUACAAUAAAUGAUAUAUUUAGAUUUCAUGAAGAUUAAUAUUGUAUAUUUUUGGUAUUCAAAAAAUUUGAGUAACUUAAUUUUCAUCUGUUUUAUAAAAAUUAGAACUUAUUACAUGCAUCCAACACACCAAGAAAAAUGACAAAAGAAUGUGUGAGCCAAUGAGCCCUUACUAGCACUUUACCACGUCCUAACACUUUUUUUUUUACAUAAUUACAUGUAAUUAAGCAAAUUAAUAAUUAGCUCCGGUUGAUUCCUCGUACAAACUAUAAAUUAAUAAUUAGCUCCGUUAAUCGAACUGGUAUGAUUCUUUUUACCAACUUUGCAUUGUAUAUCUUGCAGAUAUAUAGUCUUAUAGAUAUAUUUAAUUAAAUUAUUUUGUUGUGCAUUUUUAAGUAAAUCGGUUGAGGACAUAAUAAAAAUGAAAUUUAAGGUAAAAGUAAUUUCACCGUACAAAAUGAGAAGCUUGUUUGCUAUGCAAAUCAGUGAAACUUAGCAUUUAUAUUGCUCGGUGUAUAAAACCGAGAAUAUCUCUGGUGUCAUAAACAGGGGUAUCAUGCAAAUGGGGUUGGGCAAUCUUUACAUUUUCCACCUCACAAGGGAAGAUUACUUAAUGCUGAUAUAUAAGAAUAAUUUAACACACAGAAGGAAUAAGCAUAAAAAGAUGGUGACCCCAAGCCCCUGCCUAAGUACUGCAACUUUCUGGCAUGCAUAUUCAUUACACAGGCAUAUAUACAUGCCCCAUAUAUAUAUAAUGAGAGAGAGAGAGAGAGGGAGAGAGAGAGAGAGAGGGAGAGGGGGAGAGGGGGGGAGAGAGAGAGAGAGAGAGGGAGAGGGAGAGGGGGAGAGAGAGAGAGAGGGAGAGAGAGAUUCAAAUAUUAUUGUUUUAUAGGGGAUGGGCGGGGGGAAAUCGCCCAGGGCAAGAGCGGAGGCUGGGGAGACGCUGAGAAAGAAAGACCUUUGUGUGAGGGUACUUCUUAGUUCUCUAUACAUGCAUGCGAGAGUGUCUUAAAAUAAUUAUAAAUUGUAAAAGGAGAUGUCUAGUAAUAUUGACAUGACAUAUCCUAAGUGUUUCUCCUCUAGUAGUAAGUAUGAUCAGGUAAUCCCAAUUGUUUGCUUUUUGUGAGUCCUUUCAUCCGUUUAACACUGUCUCUAGCUAAUACCCUCUUGCACCCUACCACCAUGUAUGGAUACAAUAGUACAUAUGCCUACAUGCACUUAAAUGCUUCAAAACAAAAGUAGUUGCAUGUUAUUUAUUAUACGCCUUUCAAUUUUCAAAAACUAUUUGCUUCCAGAUAUCUUUGACCUACUUUCACUUGUUUCUAAAUCUCCCAUAUGCAAUACUAUUUUAAAAUAUUAAAAUUUGGAUUAAUCGAGUGAAUGGAUAAUUUAUCUAAAGAGGAACUGCAUAGCGGUUAAGAAAAGGUCAUCUUUGGUUUCAAAAUUAAAAAAUAUACCUUCUAUUUAAAAAGUUAAAAACCAUAUUUCAAAAAAAAAAAAAUGCAGUAUUUAAUCCGACUUAAAAAUGAGCUUUGAGUAAAUAUUUGGACUUCCAGCACUUCUUGCCUGAUCUAGCUAGGUUUGAGAAGCAUCGGACUUUUACACAAAUUCUAGGUGACGAUAAUUUUAAUAUAAAUCCCUUAGACAAUACUGUUUCUUUACGAACAGCAGACGUAUCUAGAUGGUGUUGUUAUAUACGCCUCCAUGCCAAUAUAUAUGUUCCUUUUUUAUUUUUGACUAGUCAAAUUGACUGGACUGAUAUUUAUAUAUAUUAUAUAAUUCACAAAAAAUUAAACAAAAUAUUAUCGAAAAAUAAAUCUAAUCGAUUUUAAUAUGUAAUUUUGUAUUUCCUAAAAUAAUUAAAUAAAUAUAUUUUAAUAAUUGGUCAAAAAAUAAUCAAUUUGACUUCUCGAAAAAUAAAAGAAACAUGUAAAUGGGGACGGAGCGUAUCUUUGGAAGAUUCGGAUUUAACGAGUUUCUGUUGGAUUAGCAACUAUAAAUAUGGUGUAAGAGCAUCUCCAAUGUAGUUGGUUAUAAUUAUUGGCUAAAUUGGACAUGUAAGAGCAUCUCCAACCAUACAAAAUUUUUAGCGAAAAGGUGAGUCGUCAUUCCAAAUAUAAAAAAAUUUAGUCAACCUGUUGAAAAAAUCACAACUCCAACCACAUGAAUUUGUUGUCUAUAAUUUUAGCCAACCUUUAAUGGUUGGCUACAUUUGUCGAACCUCUACAGGUCUGUAAAAAAUCUGUAGGAAGAUUACACAUUAUUUAUUACCAUAUUGAACUGAUAUAUUCUAUUUUAACAAACUAUAAUAUAUAGUAGGAGAAUUCUAAAUAUUCACAAAAUAUUUAGUAGGAGAAUCCUAAAUAUUCACAAAAUAUUUGCCUGUAAGAGGAUUAUCAUGGUGAUACGUCCAACUACUUGAAUAUCAAGAUGGUAGUCUAAUGGUAGAGGGGUAUCAGGCCAACUCCAACUAUGGAUCCAAAUUUGGAUCACCAAAUGAUCCAAAUUUAGGGCGGGAUCCAAAUCCUAUUCCAACCAUGUGAUCCAAAUUCAUUCAUCCUUAUAAUAUUCAUACACCUUGAUUUUAAAUAUUUUAAAAAAUGAUUAACUAAUUUCAUUAUUAAUUAUAAUAAUACAAUUAACGACUAGACAAAAAUAAAAUAUUACAAAAUAAUUUGAAAACGUUAAAACGGUACAUAAAAAUAAAUUAAAAGCAUUAAAAUACUAAUUCUCAGAAUUAGUAUAAUUUUCCCACAAAUGCUCAAUUAGUGCAUUUCAAAAUUUAAGAUGGGCAAUAUUUAUCUUUGAUUUUUCUGUAACGAUUGAUAAAUUGUUGAAAUUUUAUGUAUCUUCAAAUAAUAUAUCUUUUGAAAUUUUAAUUUAUAAUUAAUCGUUGUUUUAAUUAUUUUCUAAUCUUAAUUAAUCUAUCUUUAAUAACUUAAAAAAAAAUCAACAAAUAAUAAAAGUAAUAAUAUUUUAAUGUUAAAAAGAUUUGGAUCAGUGAAUAUUAGUGAUCCAAAUUUGGACCAGUACUAUUCACUGAUCCAAAUUUGGAUCACUUUUUAGUCCACGGUUGGAGUGGUUUGGGGAAGAACUGCCCUAAAUUUGGAUUUUUGGAUCACGGUUGGAGAUGCCCUCAGUGUGACAUUCCACUCGAAAUGGAGCAGCUUAUAUAUUUGCAAAAACUUAAUUAAAUUUUUGGGUGAAUGCCUGACCAAAAUACUCAGUUUUCAACAAUAUUUGACCAAAAUAUUUAUAUUUAGUAAGAUGGGGCCUUCAAAACCUAGCAUGCCCGUGUCCAAACAACAUUUAAUCAAAAUACGUAUAUUCAGUAAGGAUGGCUCUAAAUACCCACAAAAUUUUUGAUUAUAAGAGGAUUAACAUGAUGAUAUGUCAUAACCAGUCGAGUAUCGGGAUGAUACUCCACGGAUAAAGGAUAUCAGUAUAAUUUCCACCGGGAGUAGAGCAAUAUAUUUAUAAACUUAAUUAAACUUUUGGGCGAAUUCCCCACCGAAUUGUCAAUUUUCAACAAUAUGUAAUUAAAAUAUAUUCAAUUAGAAAGCGCCUUAACUACCCACAAGAUACUCCAAUAUCGGAGAAGUAUCAGGAUGAUACGUCACAACCGGUUGAAUAUCAAGAUAAUACCUCACUGAUAGAGGAAUAUCAUUGUGAUACUUUGCCCUAAAAGUAGGGCUGUAAAUGAGUUGAUAAGCUCGAUAACCGCUCGGUGUUCGGUUUGAAAAAUGCUCGGUGCGAGCUCGGUUCGAUUCAUAAACGAGUCGAUCUUGAGCAUAAUUUUAAGGUUCAUUUUAUAAACGAGCUGAACUUGAGCACAGUAGAGUUCGAUUCGAUAGUUCGCAAACAAGUUCGAAUUAUGAGUUUGUGAACUUGGCUCGUGAGCUUAGUUCGUGAACUAGCUCGUGAACUCGGCCCGUGAACAAAACAAGCUUGUAAAUAAAUUUAUAAGCAUAAGCUAGCUCGUUAGCAAAGUUUAUUAAACAAACUCAUGAACAAAAUUAAUGAGCGGUUGGUGAGCAAAAAUUCGUGAGACAUGUUCGUGAGCGUAAGUUAAUGAGCGGUUCGUGAAUAAAAGCUUGUGAGAUAGCUUGUGAGACAUGUUCGUGAGCCAUUCGCGAGCCGUUCGUGAAUAGAGUUUUUCCUUAAUGAGUCGUACCUCAAACAAUAUUUUUGGCUCGAUCCAAGUUCGCUAAUUUUUUAACAAACGAUACACGAGCACUCUAGAGUUCGGCUCGGCUCGGCUCAUUUACACCUCUACCUAAAAGGACCCUAAUUAUCCACAAAAUUUUUAUUAUAAGAGGAUUAUCAUGGUGAUACGUCACAACCGGUUACGUAUCAGGGUGAUACUCCAUAGGUAGAGGAGUAUCAGUAUGAUACUCCACUGGAAGUGGAACACCAUAUUUAUAAGUAAAUUAAAUUCUUAGGCGAAUUCCCGACCGAAAUAGCCAAUAUUCAACAACAAUUAAUCAAGAUAUAAAUAUUCAAUAAAAAGGGGCUCUAAAUUACCCACAACAUACUUCACUAUCAAAGGUGAAUCAAAUAAAUACGGCACAACCAGUUAAAUUUCAAGGUUAUAAUCCACUGCUAGCUAGAGGAUUAUCAUUGUGAUACUUCGUUUACAUUAUUUUAAGGACAACUAUUCCUAACUCACGGUUAAUGCAUGCUCAAAAAAUAAAAGAUGUUUAUACCGCACUACAACAACAAAGAUCCAAAAUCUUAAUUCUCUGUUAUUGGCAUUGUCGGACAAUAACAAGAAUAGCAACAUUCAUCCACGCUUAUGAGAACAUGCCCGUGCCUCGCAUGGGCUACAAUGCUAAUUAUUUAAUUUAAAAGUCAAAAGGCCUGGUAUAUAUUAUUAUCACUUGACCGUUGCGAAUAAAUGACAAAAAUCUCGGAUCCAUAAUGCUAUUAUUCCUCUGAUGAUUACUCUGGGCCUAUAAUACUUUUGAUUUUGAACUUGGCUGGAGAUAGCUAAAUAUAAUGGGGGUGUUUGGUUGGACUUUUAAGCCCAGUUUCUGGAUCUAUAAGUUAAAUUUACUUAUUUGUACCGUUUGUGAAAAGUCAAGAAACAUUUAUAAAAAGUUAAGAAUGUUAACUUUUGUCUCACGACUUCUACUUAUUUCCCAAACACUUUAAUCAAUUAUAAGACUUAACUUGCUUCUCACUUCUAUUUCACUUCUUGGGCUUAUAUUAAGUUCAGCCAAACAGCCUCAGUGUCUAAUAUAAAUAAAAAACACUCAGCAUCGUUUCCGAUGAAAUACUCCAAAAACAAAGAGCAGAGGAAUUCAAAAUGUCUUUCUUUAUAUAUUUAUAAGCUAAUAAAAUAGUUUGUGUAUAAUUUCCGAAAACUGAAAGUUUACAUUUACAACUUGCUCCCUGUAUCCGCGUAAGGUGUAUAAAAAAUCUGAUCAAUACUAGCAGGCUUCUCCGAGGCCUGCCUAAAUUUUGUCUUCACGAGCAGUUUGCUGUUGGGCUAGAAGAGUACCGAGUUUCGUAUAUCAAUUAUCAUCUUAAGAUAGACUUCACUUACGAUUAUAGAAUAAACAUAAAUGUUGUUAAAUCUCGGUCAACAUCGAUAUCAUAAUUAAAUAUGAAGAUAGAUAAAGAAAUAAACCUAUAUAUAAAUUUUAGUUAAAAUCUCUAAAAUUACAAAAACUCAUAGUGCAUUGUUUUUUUUUUACAAAAUAAGAAAAUAUAAUUAUAAAUAAAAUACGUUAAACUCCCUCUAGAUACUUAAAUACUCCUUCCGUCCCCCUCAAUUGGGGGACGGGAGCUCUGCACGUAUUUUAAUAUUUUGAUAAAUUGUAGUUUGAUAUAUUAUUUGGAUUGUUUUUUGAAUAAAAAUUAAAUGUUAAAUUUUUAUAUAUAACAAAAUAAUUUGGAAAAAAAUUGUGAAACUUUACAUGAAUUUUAAAAUACGUGUCAAGCCGUUUAAAAAAAAUCAUAAACAAAUGAGUGGGAAAAUGGUAGUAACCAUGACCGUACCCAAAAUUUUUCACUCUCACACAAAUAUUUAUUUUAAUACAAUAAGUUUACCCGAAACAUGUAUCUUUUUUUUAUAUAUCCUUGAUGUUUAUAUUCUCUCCUCUGGUUCUUCACAAGUUGUUAGGUAGUAAUUGUUUCUUCUUCAUUUGUAUUCGAUUUAGAAAUGUUAGAAAUUGCGAGUUCCAAUAUAUUAACAUCGGCCGUUUAUCUUCACCUCCUUUUAAAUUAGGGUUUUGAGAAUCUACUCUCAAAACUAAUCGUGACUUCUCCAUUCUUCACCUUCAUCCUCUUCAUCUACCAAUUUUUUUUGGCUCUCUCAUCUUUUUCACUAUUUACCAAUUUUUUGUUUUUCAAUAAAAUCGAGUAUUGCUUAAAUCUCGAAUAUUCCAAUCGAGUUUUAUUCUCGGAUCUGUUUCGGAUUUGACCUUGGGCUUGAUUGUUUUCUAAAUAAAUCAGAUCUUUUGAAAUCAAAAGUCCGAUUGUGUUUUCUCUUCUCGCCUUUUGGCGUGUGUUGAUUUAGUACGUGAUUCUGCGUUGUUAUGUCUUUCUGUGUUAUCAAUGAGAAUGAUUAAUACUUUCGGCAUGUCUAUAGCUGGCUAUCGGUAUGUAGGUAGCUGGGGUAUGCUUGGAACGGUGGCGGUCGCAUGUGCUUACCUUUCACAAAUUAUAGUUGUUCAUUAUUCGAGGACUCUUUUCCUUAUUGCUUAGUUAUUACAACUGAGUCAUAGAACUAUUGUGAAGGUCAAUUGUGAAGCUACCAUUUUCGGGAUUGAUGUAUGCUGGAUUACUCGAGAAACCUUUGUAUUCAUUUUCAGUUUCAAGAAUCCUUAGAUUCAUGUGUUAAACAGUCUGAAAACAAUGCGGCUAUUUGUUUAGCUCGUUUUAUUGUUUAUCAACCUGAUUGCAUUGUCAGUUGUUUUAAUUUAAUGGAAUGAAUUUGCAUUUUGUCAAAAAAAAAAAACAUCGGCAGUUUAAAUAUACAAAAAUCUAAAUACUGGUGAACGAGUUUAAUUUGGAAUUGAUGGAACAGCUUUAAAAUAUAUUAGGAAAUAAUCAUAACAAUUUAUAUAAAUUUAAUAUUGAACGAAUCGGAUUAUUUUCAACAAAUUCAUAUUAUUUAGGUCAGAUGUUUAUAUUUAUAUAGAACAUCAUAGAAGUAGAUGGAGUAUAGUCAUGAUUGUAUAACAAAUACUUUAAUUUAUCAAUAUGUAUUUAUCAAUCAAGAUCAUUGCCGUGCUCGGUUCUUACUUCACUGGACCUAUUUAAUUAAUUUCUCGGCAAUUUUAGAAACAUAAGUAGGUGAAAAUUAUUAUAAGUGAUUAAAAAACUAGUUUCUAAGGGGUUCCGUUACUAAAAUAAGCCCCCUUUAAUUUAUAGAAAGUAAACGAAGGGUGAUACCUAACUUUGUACGACUAAUAAACUUGUAAUAAACUUGUCAUAGUUUUCGGUUUCCCCUGAAUUAUAUGCCGUUGUUGAUAAGCCUCUAUAAAAUAGUAAACAAAUAGUUUUAGGGUAUGUUAGAGUGUUUCUAGAAAAUUGGUGUUUCUUUUAAAAAAAAAAGAAGGUGCUCGAAGAAUAGUAUUGAUAAUUAACACUGUUUAAUAUUUUUGAUAUUUAUAUAUUUUGUGCUAUAGCAUAAAAUAUUUUUUUUUGAUAGGAUUUGAUAUUGAAAUUCAUGACAGUUUUCCGCAAAAACAGGAAAAAGAAUUUUUUAUAUAGUAUUUUUGAUUCUUGAGGAAAAAUAUCUUGGAAAAUUUUUUCAGUAACAAAAUUCUUAAGUAGAAUCUUAGAAAAAAAUUCUCAAGAGGAAAAUUUUCCGGGGAUACAAUUUCUUUGGAAAAAAUAAAUUUUGAGAAAAAUAACAAAAAUAUAUUUCAAUAAACUUUUCUAAAGAAAAAUCUCGGAAAAAAUUACUCAAGAAAUAAUUCUCAGGAUAACAGCUCGAAAUUCUUUUACAGAGACAGAAGCUUCCUUCAUAGUCACUCAUUGUAAUUUUCAUUAUGAUCUGUUUAAAUAUUUAGAUUUUAUUUAAAUUCAUGGAUUUGAUCAAAUUAUAUUAUUAGAUAUAUAAAGAAUUGUCUGACUUGAAUUUCAUUUGAAAUUAUAAAAUUUUAAAUGUUAAUAUAAAAUAGAGAAUAUGAAAUGACAAACUCAAAUCAUAUCAUUUGAAAGACAGAUUUUAAGAUAAAAUAUGUGUUAUCAAACACAAUCUUAUAUAUAUAAUUCAAUUGAUUUCGAUGAUUUUCUCGUUAUAACAGUUCUCCCAAAUUUUUGUAAGCAAUUCGUUGUGCAGACGAUUAUAAAAUGUGCAAUAAUGUAAUAAGACGGUGAUUAAAAUAAUAAGUCAUUAUUUAAUUAUUUUAUAUGGUAACCUUAUCUGCUUAUAAACCAGAUGAACCAGACUUUUAGCCAGUCUUCGCAGCUCAGCUGUCUGAAUCUCAGUUUAGUAGAACAACAGAUUGUACGUCUUCCAAAUCUGUUAAAUACUCUCCGCUGGCCCCUCCCCUCAGAUUAUUACUCUAUGUAUUAUCAAAUUUUUUUUAUAUUUUAAAACUUAUCAAAAUGUGUGGCAAAAAAAAAAAAAAAACUUACCAAAAUGAGUCUCAUUAGUAUCCAACUUUUCCCUGUCCUUUUUAUACAUUAAAAAUUAAUAGAUAUUUCUUAACCUACCUGCCCAAACCACUUUUAUACAUUAAAAAUUAAUUGAUAUUUCUUAACCUGCCCAAAUACACAUAAACUAUUAGGGAGUGAGUAGUACUUAAUAAACUGGCGGCUCGAAUAUUGCAUGCUGUCAUGCUGAGGAGCAGUGUGAUAAAAUUUUAAUUUUGUCAUGUGAAUUCAGACGAUUGAGUUGCUUUAUGUGAUUAUAUAAAAUAUGAUUAACACAAACUGUCCAAAAACAUAUUCAUUAUCUUUUUAUAGUUUGAAUAUCUGAAAAUUUAUAUUAUAAUAGAUAAGAGAUGAGUUUCAAAAUUUAAUAUUUUUUAUAUACUCAAAUCAAGUUUCGGCUUUUUAGUGUGAUAAUUUGGAAAUCCAAACCUUUUUUAAUGAUUUACUUAUUUUAAAAAAGUUGACUUUACAAAAAUCUAAAAGAUAUUUUAAAACAAAUUAUUAUUAUAUCAAUUACUUUUAUACCACUCUCAAGAAAAUUAUUAUACAUAAGAAAUUAUAAAUAUCUAAAGCUAUUCAAAACCAAAAUUGAAAAUUAUUUUUAUUUAUAAAGUAAUUACUUCUCACCGAUAAAUAACAAAUAAUAAAUACUCAUUUUAAAUGAAACUAGACAGUCGCAUAACAUAUUUAUCAUUUAUCAAACAUUUUUUUUUUUUUUCCAAAGUAAAAAAUAUAAAUAAUUUGUUUAAUUUUAGCCCUACGCGGCCGAAUGAAAUACUUCCAUGUAAUAUAUAUACAGCGUGGAGUCAUUACAACACAUGAUUAACGUGCAUUUUCUUGCUAUUCGUGUUCCAUCGAGUCCAAAUCUGAACAUUGAAAAUACAUUUCAUUUAUUUCGAUUUCUGAAAUAACUGGAAUCAGUGUACGAAUUAUAAAUAAUCGAACUCGUUUAAACUCUUAUAAAACAAAAAAUAUAUAUGUACUUAUCGGUGGGAACUAAUUCGCAAUAAUUAACAUGAACUGCUCGUGCAUGCUUAAUAUCAUACUCCCUCCGUUUCUUUUUACGUUGCUCAUUUGAGAUGUCGGGAUUGUUCAUAACAUGAUACAAAUGAUUAAUUUGCGCCAAAUCUAUAAGAUCAAAUAUAGUCAUGAGUGAUCUUGUUGGAUUCGUAUCUAUGAGUAUUUUAAUACGAUAAUUUUUUUAUAUUUAAUAUUAAUAUAAAACUAAAGAUAUUAACGAUAGAAAGUGCGCAUUGGCAAACGUGUCCAAGGCAAAUGAGAAAAGUAAUAAGAAACGGAGGGAGUACUCCACGAUGGGAAUGAGGGAUCCACCUCCCAGUCUAUUUGUCGAUUAAUUCACGGUAUAAUACGCGGAUCAUUUACUUGCCUUCUGGAUAUUCGGCUUUCCACAUCACCUCAGUCUAUAAGCUAGUCAUGGUAAAUGCAGUGUGAUGCGAAAAUGUAACGCAAUAAAUAUACUCGUGACAAAUUUGACAAUUGACAUGUUCUACUUCUAUUAAUAAUGGUUUUCAUAAUAGAUUCUUCUGUUUGAGAGUUAGAACAAAAAUGUUAAUAAUGGGCCUUAAAACUAUUACUAGUCUAUAUAAAUAAAAUAUCCAUAGCAACAAAUCUAAAAAUUUGUCCAAAAUAUAUCAUACCUAAUUAAUUAGAUGGUCGAUAUAUAUAUUAGACUUUUAGACCAAACAGUACCAAACUGUUUUGUACGUGAGUUUGACUUUCAUAUUAGUCGAUUUUUCUAUUAAUAAUUUUGAGUGAUGAAUUUUACAUCCUUUCAAUAAUUGAAAAGUUGUUAUGAUGCCUUCACAAAUUUAGAUGAUAUACAUUGCAGUUGUUCAACACAAGUGAAAGAAAGGUUAGAGGAGCUUAUUGUACACUAUUAUCAUCAAAACUUUAAAUCUAAUUUAGGUGAAGAUAAAAAAAAAUAUACUGGUGAUUUAAUGAUUUUAUGCUAUUUAUAACAUAGAUUAGGAUGUAUAAAAUUAGUUUCAAAAUUUAUAAUAACAAUCAUGCUGUAUUUACAAAAAACUCCUUUUAUUUGAUUUAAAAUAUAUAAAAAGAAUGAAAGUCACAUAUUAAUCACAAAUAAAUUUUCAAAGUUGCUACUCCCUCCGUCCCCCUGAGUAGUAUACAUUGGGAGACGGAGAUGCAGCACGGACUUUAAUGCUCCUGCAAAGUGUAGUUGUGCACUUAAUUUUUAAUUUUUUUUUUCUGAAUCUAAGUUUGGAUGUUAUAUUUUUAUGCAGAAAAAGAAAAUUUCAAAAAUAAGUUACAGAACUAUAUUUCUUAAGAGCAUUGAAAUGCGUGUCGAGCAGUUAAAAAAACGUAUAGAAUUAAAUGGGACAGAGCGAGUUGCAUAUAUGGUUGCAAAUGCAACCACUGUAUUUUUGCGGAAAAAAUUUAAAAAUAUAAUCUUUUGUGAUUUUUAUUUGGAAUGUUGCAUUUUUACAUUUUUUUAAAAUAUUAUAGUAUUUUCCUCGUAAAACUUUUCACGCUGGGAUAUUUAUGGAACCAUAUACAAGUAGAGAGUCAAGUUCUAAUGGAGUCCCAAUUUUGUUGGAGUCCUCAGAGUCUAUUUAUAUUUUAAAAAAUAAAUUAUCUUAUAAAACAUAUUAUUUAGCAAAACAUGUUUCACAAAUAUCAUCAGUUCAAUAAAACUAUAUCUCAUAGAUUUACGAGUACUAUUUACGUUAUUCAACAUGAAUGUAUGUUCUACAAACUAAACAUAUUUUAUAAAUAAUAUAUUUUACACUAUUCUUCUUAUAUAAUACAUGAGAUAAUUUUCAAUAUGAUAAUGAUAUUUGUGGAACAUCAUUUGAACGAUAAUAUGUUUAAUAAUUUAAAUUAGUUUUUAUUCGCCGAAUAUAUGUGAAUUUUAAGACUUCAAUGAAAAUUUGGGAUGAAUUCCUCCGCCCAUGGUUUGUCAUAUAAAAUAUGUAAAUAUAAUGCACAUGCAAGAAAAAGUUUGAAAAACUGCAUCAUUAUGAUAACAACUGCAAAUUACGUGUAUUUGGACGUUUCUAUACAAAUUCUACCCCCUUAAAUUAAAAUCAUGACACAAAGAAAAAGAGAAAAGUAAAAACCUAAAGUAAAAGACACAAGCUAAACAUUGAAGAAUCAAAAGAUUGCUCAUGCAUAUGAGAUUUGACAGAAUAUAAUAAAGAAACAAAAGGCAGACAAACACGACAGAGUAGGUAAAGGUAGAUGGUUGUUACAUAUAUAUACUUACACUUUGUACAACUUUGCAAUCUUGAAAUAUUUUGCAAUUUAAAACGAUUUUGAUUAUAUGGUACAGAUUUUAGAGAAGAUAGAAAAAAGAAAAAGAUAGAAUUAGGCCAAGAAGGUGGCUUGCUCCGUAUACUCUGGCUUUGCAUUAAGUCCAAAUAUAUAUGUACACUCCUUCGCUUUGUUUUGGUCCCUUACCUUAGCCGCCUCCGCAAUAACUCAGUUGCAACCAGAUUCAGAUUUAUUAGCCACACACAGUGCAUUAAAUUUGAAUCAUAAAUUGGUGUUUACCAAAUACUCCCUCCGUCCCUUGGAAUUGUAUACAUAUAGAUUGGGCACGGAGAUUAAGAAAAAUGUAUAAAGUAAUGUAAUGUUGGAAGAAAGAGAAAGAAAAGUGGGUAAAUUAGUUGGACCCAUCGAUAUAUAAUUGAUAGAUUUGGAAAAGUAGUUGAAAGUAGUGGGUGGGUGGAGUUUUUAUAUUAUAAAACUUGACUAUUGUGGAAAAGUUUUGAAAUGUAUAGAAUUGAGUAGGACAUAAUGGACGGAGGGAGUAAUUGUUUUAAAAUAUGAGUGUUAUAACGUCUGUUUCACCAAAAUAUUUUUUUAAACAAUUUUUUUCUUUUAUAUCUGAUCUUGGCCUCUUCUUGUCACAAAGAUUUUUAAUGAUAAUAGUAAUAAUAAUUAGUUGCAACUAUAAUUGGCAGCGUAAGCUGGAACCUAUUUUCCCCCUCAAAUAGUAGAAACAACCGUUAUCGAAUUAAGUGAUGUCAUAGGAUAGUCCAUUCUGAUGGCUUCUUUAAAACUUCAAGUCAUUAUUGUCUCUGGUUUUUAUCCUUUUCUGCUCAGCAGUUCGAUCCAACGUUGGUUCAAGUUUUAUCUUGACGUGUUGUAUCAUUAUAUUCUAUAAAUUAUUUUUUCAUAGGUUUUUUAAAACUUGUAUAAAUUAUAAUUUAUUAUAUUUCUCUCAAAAAAUUUUAUGCACUGUCUUUAUUUGAAACAUUUUUCUAGACUUGUUAAUUUAAAGUAUAAUUUAUAAUAUUUUUUUGAAAAUUUUGUUCUGAAUUAAAUUUUGAUAUUUAAAGUUUUACUUUAAAAAAUAUUUAAAAAUUAUUAUAUGUGAAACUAUGUGUUAUAGAAGUUUCGAAAUACGUGUAGAAAAUAAACAUAUAGAACCUGCUAGGACGGAGGGAGUAUGUUUUUUCCUUAAUCAAAAUGUAAGUGUAUAUAUUAUGCUCUCUAAAACUCUCCAUAAAAGUAAAUAACAUAUAUUAUAAAUCAAAAUUGUUAGAUAUUAAUUAUAUUAGUCCAACUUUCACAAAUAUUUAUUAUAAUGUUAUAUUAUUUGUCAUCAUAUAUAAUUAAUAUGUUUUCUUUAUAAUAAUUUCAGUGAAUAUAAUAUUGUUAACAAAAAUUAUUAUAAAUACAUUAUAUUAUUUUAAUAUGAUAUCUAAUACAUUUCUUUAAAAGUCCGAUAAAUAUAAUAAUAUUAUAUGUUUAGCUAAUAUUUUAACGAAUUAUGAUCGCUUGUUCACUGCUAGAGAAACAAGUGAAUUUGACGAGAAAAAUUCGAUUCAAUUUAGCUAAAUUUAACAAGAAAUUGUCAUUUAGUGGAAUUUAGUAUUUUUGAUCAUGUACGUUUAAUUGAUUAAAUGUGACCGCUUAAAUAUGACUUCUUAAAUGAGCACCGUUGGAUAGCUUAAGUAGGUUAAGAACUUAUCAUCCGUCGUCCAAUGUCUUGGUUUCAACCCUGACUCAUCCCGAAGAAUUUCUUAGAAUAGAUACAUUUCUUUAUGGUUAUAAGCCAUGUUUGUCAAAAACAAAUCGAAAUAUGACCUGUUAAAUACUUAAAUAUGAUUCUUUAAAUCUUGUUGUCUCAUUUGACUUCAAUCGGUUAUAUUUACCCUUAACUUUCCGUCUUUAAUUUUUUUGUCAAAUUCAAAUUUCUCGCUAAAUUUUCACUAAAACUCAAAAUUUUCGCUUUUAUAUUUAAAUUUGACUAGCUAACCAGUCAUAAUUAAAAAUUUGAAUGUUAUGUCAAAAGUCAUAUAUAUGUAUAAAAAUUUGAUUGUUUUUCUAAUAGUUAAAUUUAUAAUGGGUUAAAUCUCAAAAUGCUCACUCAACUGAAGGCCUGGUAUCAAUUGCCUCACUCUAGUUAUCGGCGUCUCAAGUGUACCACUCUAGUAACUAGUAAUGACAGCGACGUUAAAUAUUUAUGUUGACCUAACGGAAGAUAUUACGUGGCUGUAUUGACUUUGACAUGGUGGAAAAGACACUGACGUGUCUGAUACAACGGUUACAUAUGUAAUUGAUAUAUAACUAGAGUUAGGGUUCUUCAUCUCUAAUUCCUCUCAUCUAUAUCUUCUAUACAUGGCAACAAAUCAAAGCCCAUAGGUAAAACUGGUAGCUUUUCAUCGAUUGACUCAGUAAAGAAGGAAGAGCGUAAGAGUUGCCUACAUAUGCAAUGGAUAUAUAACAAAAGCUAGGGUUCUUUGUGAGAGCUUUGAUUAAACAAAAAGUUUUAACAAAAAUCUCUAAUACCUCUCAUCUAUAUCUUCUGUACAUGGCAACAAAUCAAAGCCCCAUAGGUAAAACUGGUAGCUCUUCAUCGAUCGACUCAGUGAGGAAGGAAGAGCGUAAGAGUUGCUUUUGUGGAAGAAGAGCUCGACUUUUUACCUUCUGGACAUUGAAAAAUCCGGGAACACGGUUCUACACUUGUGCCACUCCAAAGGUAUGGUUGUAAAAUUUAAUUUAGAAAUAGAGUUAAAUAUAAGAUGUUAGUAAUUAUGGAUUUCGAUGUAGGAGGACAAUGGAUGCCAUUAUUUCGAGUGGUUUGGAGAAGAAUUUUGCCCCAGAUCUUUGGAUGUCAUUACUCACUUAAAUCAUAGGAGAAUUUAUCUUGAAGAGAAGCUUAAAGUUGUGGAAGAAUAUCUUGCUGAAAGUAUGGAGAAGAAGAAGCUUUUGAAGGUUGAGAGGAAUUUGUUGAUCGAAGUAAGGAUGAAAUUGGAAGCUGAGAAAAAUAGGAUGAAAAGGCAGAUGAAAUUGUGUGUGUUUGUAGUUGUUGUAUUGAUUGCAGUGUUGAUUGUUUCUAAGUAGUUGCAUGGUAGUAAAUGUGGUAGAAAUAUGGUUGUUAGAUGGAGUGAAUGUGCAACACUGAUGUGGCCUAUAUAUGUAUGUUUUUUUAAAUGAAAUUAGAUGCUUAUUUUCCUGAAAUUGCAACAAGAAUACAUAGAAAUAACUAUAAAUAACACAGUUAAUGUAAAACAAAAGAUGUCAUUGCUUAAACAGAUUUUAAUGUCUUCGACAGAGUACCAUUACUAAGUACCAUAAUAACAGCAAAAUAAGUAGCAACAUAAGCAGUCUUUAGCAAAAGCAACAUAAGUAGAAUAAUAGUGCUGACUAAUUUAAAGCUCUAUGGGAUCAUCUGGGGUAUUUUCGAAGGUGAAUCUGUCCUUCAUCUGCAGUCUAACAGUCCUAUUAGAGUCAAUCAUAGAAUUGCACAUGUUUCCUUUGAAUUUAUUUGCAUUCUUCUUUAUAACAUGAUAUUCUUCAUCACUCACAUUAUCAUCAGAAAUAUCUGGGUCAUCAGAAUCCUCACUCUCUGUAUCCUUUUUAUACUCAGUAUCAUCCGUGUCUUCACUAUACUCCCCCUCACUACUAUGCCCCCGUUCCUCUAUUUCUAUCUCAGCCCCUAGCUUUUGUGUUCUGUGCAUUGUGGUAUCAUUUUUUUUCCUUUGGUGAGGGUGGAACAUCAACAAGUUCAUCCAAAUCAAAAUGAUCAACAUACAAUUCAAUUUUUCCAUAUGGCUUACACGAUGCAACCAAGUCCCUAACUGAUAUGGCAUCAUAAACUACCCUUGUGCCCUGCUUAAAGCUAUGACCAUCACACUAAAAACAUACUAGUGCAUUCUCAUCAUAGUCAUACUUCUUAGCAAAUUCUUCUAAAUCACGAAAACUUAAAGUAUCACUAUCGAAAUCAUGGAUCACUUCAACUUUACCACCCAUAUACUUCACAUUUGGAGGAGGACUGAAAUCACCGUGGUGGUAGAGAUAUAAAGUAGUAGACAUACUGUCAAUUCAAAAAACAUAUACAAUUAUACACAUACCAUCUACAUCAUAAACACAACCAACACAUGAAUCUACAAUUAACAACAUUUAUGCAGUCGAAUUAGGGUUCAUAUCUGGAAAUAGAAGUCGAAGACGAUGUACGGAAUGCAUAAUCUCCACGACAAUUAAAAGCUUUUAAUCGAAUUCAGUCGUGCCCUAAAAUUUCGCCCACCUUCUCCCCCCAAAUUCAACUUCUCUCCUGUCUAUACUUCCCCUAAAAUUAAAACAACGGCUUUAUUUUUGUUUGGGGCUUUUAACAAAAUCGAUCCGCUUACAUGUCUGCAAUAUCAUCUUCCAAGUGGCAUACACGUGUCUCCACGUAGCCUAAACGUUAAAGUCAAGACGGUCCCGCUAGAUCAACAUAAAUAUUUAACGUCAAUGUCAUUACUGGUUACUAGAGUGGUACACUUAAGAUGCCGAUAACUAGAGUGAGGCAAUUGAUAUCAGGCCUUCAGUUGAGUGAGCAUUUUGAGAUUCAACCCAAUUUAUAAUUAAAUUUGACUCGUGUCAAUGGUCUCAUUUAUAAUUUUGAAUGAUUUUGGUUGAAUAUGGCUAUAGUCGAUUACUUUUCUAAUAUUAUUGCGACUAGGGAUGAGCUUUUGGUCCGUUCGAUCCAAAACCGGUCCCAAUCGAAUAGACCAAAAAUCGAAAUUUCAUUUCUUCCCGGAACGAAACUGAAAUUUUAAUAUGGACCGAACCAAACCGAACGGUUCGGUCCGGACCAAAAUAAUCAAAAAUUCUCUAAAAAUUACAAAUUAUAUUAUAAAUAAAACUAAAAUUCAUGAAAUAUUUUUAAAAAAUUAAUAGUAAUUAAUCAUCACCACUUCACCUAAUUAAAUUUAUAAAUUAAAUAUUAUAAUAUUAACAUAUAUAUGAGAUAUAUAUAUCUCAUAUAUAUAUAUAUAUAUAUAUAUAUAUAUAUAUAUAUUGUGUGUGUGUGUGUGUGUGUGUGUGUGUGUGUGUGUGUGUGUGUGUGUGUGUNNNNNNNNNNNNNNNNNNNNNNNNNNNNNNNNNNNNNNNNNNNNNNNNNNNNNNNNNNNNNNNNNNNNNNNNNNNNNNNNNNNNNNNNNNNNNNNNNNNNNNNNNNNNNNNNNNNNNNNNNNNNNNNNNNNNNNNNNNNNNNNNNNNNNNNNNNNNNNNNNNNNNNNNNNNNNNNNNNNNNNNNNNNNNNNNNNNNNNNNNNNNNNNNNNNNNNNNNNNNNNNNNNNNNNNNNNNNNNNNNNNNNNNNNNNNNNNNNNNNNNNNNNNNNNNNNNNNNNNNNNNNNNNNNNNUAUAUAUAAUUUAUAUUAUAUAUAAUUUGGACUAUUCGGUCUAUUUGAUCUGAACUGAAAAUAUAAUUUGUUUCUCUCUUCUUGUGUGUGUCUCUUCCCCAAUCUCUUUCCCACUUCUUGCAUCUACAAGAUGGAUGCUACAGGGUCCACCAACGAGAAUAACACAAAAACAAAAAAAAACAGAGAUUCCACGAUGUAUUUUUCUAUGACAAACUAGUUGUGAAGAAAACUUGAUGGUUUGAUGAGAAUACUAAAAGGAAGAUACUCGUGUCCCCGAAUGGAUGGAAUAGUUGUUCUUACAUGAAAUGGAUUCAUCAACCACUUAAAAGGCGAGUAGUGGAGGUGGUUCAAGGUAUAUUGAAAGAGAUUAACGACUUGAAGCCCGUACACCAAAUAUAAAAGUGCAAGAUCUAUGCUAGGUUUGCGAGAAAAAGGGAAAAAAUUGUGAUGAAGGUCAAGAUUCAUACUGCAUUAGUUGAAGUUGUAGCCACUAAGUCAGAAGAAGAAAAUUAGGUGUAUGGGUCAGAGAAUGAUGAUUUAUAGUUAGUUUAUAUUUGUUGGUUCAUAGUUUGUUGUUGGACAGUUGUGUCCGUUUAUGUUCGUGUUGAGACUAUGAUUAUGGUCACCUCUUUUGGUUAUUUAUGAAAGGGAGGUUAUUGUUAAUUGAUUCUAAAUUUUUAAUUAUAUUCUAUGCUUUGGUCAUAACCCUUGCUAGCAAAAAUAAUACACAUAUUAGUGCAAGAUAAAUAACCAUGAAGAAGAUAAACUGCCAUUGGCCCAAACAUAAAAUCUGAAAUGUUUACAUCAAUCCCAAACAUACUAGUGUAAGCAAAAGAUUGGACCAUAAAUCGUAGUUCAAUACUGCAAACAAUCAAGAUUGAACUAUGGACAUUAAUUCUUAGUUCAAUACUGUCAAAUGAUCAUAAUACAAAAGUUCACAAUUUCUCGGGUGUACUUUAUUUAAAUUUCUUCCUCCUCUCCCUCCUGCCUUGGUCCAACAUCCCCUAUCUUGAUAUUGGACCCUUUUUGAUUGCCUUUUUUUUCCUUGCUGAGCAAAAAUUCCACCAUGAAUACCUUCUGGCAUUGAACCACUUUCACCAUCUUGAUUGUUAGUACUUGAAGUUGGAUGAGUGGAUGGCAAUACUGCAGUUCUCUAAAAAUUAGAGUCUAGCCUCCUUUUAGCUUUGUAGUUUUAUUUUGUUGUUUAGAUAUCGGCCUUCCUUGAUUUUCUUCACCACCACCACUUGUCGCAUUAUUAUUAGAGACUUGUGACUACUUUGUUCUAAUGAAAAUUACUUAAAAAAUUUAUUAAGAAGUAUCAUUACUCUUGUUGGGCAAGUUCAAAAGAGACAACAGAAGCACUAAUCACUAAAUCUAGGCAUAUAAUUAUAAAAUUUAACCUAUAAAUUUGUAUAUAGAACAUGCAAAUUAGGAGAAAAACAGUUUAACAACACAAACUUAUCAAAAUAACAUAACUCCUCUAGUUCUCGUCUUUUUUUUUUUUUACUUCAAUAUGUAAAACAGACGCCGUUUAAAAAACAUAUCGAAAAUGAAUGUUAGAUUUAAUCAUAAUCAUAUUAAAAUCCUAAAAGUCGUGAGUAAAGUUACAUGCAUUAAGUAAUACAAAGAUAUAUUUAGGAUUCCAGUAAGAAAUGCACAAAAAACCGUUAAUAUACCUGUCUAAGUAUUCUUCUGACUUUUUAAGGUUGAUAAGCUCAGAAUUGCCAAAUCUCUCCAUUUUUUUCAACAGAUCAUUGUCGUAGAUAGCGAGUUAUGACAUAUUUUACUUAAUUAAGGCAAAUAGCUAGUGAAAUGAUGAACAAACGACAUAAUCUUAUGGUUGAAUCGUGGAGUUAAUAGAAUUGUAAUAAUGAAAUUACUGAAGAACUCUAUCAUUAUUAUAGUUUUUUUUACAAAUUAAAAGAAGCGUUAAAUUAAUUGACCAAGUCUUAAAAUGCUUUGGGCUAGACUUUUGUACAAAUUCUACGCCAUAAGCGCACAUCGGCAACGCUUAUUAGCAAGCGUUGCAGCAAAAGCAUUGCAUUUUCUAUAAAGAAUUAGAUCUUUUACAACACAGCGAAGAAAACGUUGCAUUACAGUUAAGCUACCAUUACUUAUUAUAUACACUGUUGCGCAAAGUGCAACACUAGCAACAUUAGUGUUGCAUUAGCAAUUUAAAAUUAAUAUUUAUUGCUGACACGGUCUUUGUGGGGCCCAAAAAACGCUGAGGUGACAUGCUAAGGUGGAUGGGGGACCCACAGUGCUGACGUGACAUGUGGGCCCCACUUGUGGUCCACACUGCUGACGUGGCAUGCUAACUUGGCAUGUGAGCCCCACACUGCUGACUUGGCAUGUGAGCCCCACACUGCUGACGUGGCAUGUGGCCCCACAUGUGGGUCCCACUUUGCUGAUGUGGCAUGCAUAUAAAAAUUGUUUUUUUGUGUGAAUUUUGUAUUCAAAUAAUACGUUUGUUCUAUAUGCAGUUUUGAAUAUUUAACCAUUUUUUUAAAAAAAAUAACAACUUUUGUUUGAACAUAUAUAUUUGUAUAUAUUUUAUAUUUGAUGUAUUGUAUUUCUUUCAGUUAGCUAAUAUAUUUAUAAUAUAUCUAUGAAACUAGUUUAUUUCAUAUUUCACAAAAAAAUUUCAAAUAUAUGCUUUAUUAUUCAUAUGUCAAACUUAACAAAUUUGUUGUGAAGUAAUAAAAUAUGUUUAUACUAUUAAAAUAUAAAAUUUCUAACAUUUUUUCUUAUAAAACCUGUAAACUUAUCGAUAUUUCUGAUAUACAAUAAAAAUAAAAAUAAUUUGAUAGAUAAUUGACGUUUAAAAUUUUAAAAUUUAGAAUAUUCAAUAUUUUAAUUUAAAAGAGAUAAUUUUCAUUAUAUAUAGUAAAAAAAUAUUUCAUAUACUACAAAUAUGUUGGUAAACUUAAAAUAUGUAUGAUAAAAUAAAUACUUGAAAUUUUUGGAAUAUAAAAUAAACAAUUCAGGUAAAAACAAUAAAUAAAUUAUAUAUAGAAAAAAUGUCAAAUUAUAAAAAUAGUAAUUUAUAUAAUAAAAAUAUUGGAUAAUUAAUGGAAGUAAAAAAAUGAUAUCGAUCACAUUUAUAUAAUACAAAAUCAUUUAUUUUAUAUAAAAAAUUGUCAAGGAAAUGAUUGAACAUAUAAACUAUGUGUACAAGAAAAAGUGUUCGACUCAACGUUAAGAUUCAGAUUUAAAAGAAAAUUAGACCACAUUAAUGAAGAAACAUAAAAUUAGAAUGACGGCAUCAUUUGGUGUAAAAUCGUGUCUACAAGUUUAGGAAAACGGGUGUUUGGCACAGGCUUAUAAGCUCCGGAAUUAUAUGUUCCAAGCACUUAUUUGUAAAAAGUCUGUGUAAAAUUCAAGAAAUACUUUUAAAAAACUACAUAUGUUUUUAACUUCUACUUAUUUUUUUAGUUUAAGCAAUAAGAUCACCCAAACCGUCCCAUAAUUACUCAAAUAUAAACAAGAAUGAGAGUGUGAUUUUGUGCAAAAUUCUGUAUAGGUUCUAUAUUGUGGAUUUAUCAUUACUCUGACAACAUAGUAGACUUGUAUUUUGCCAUUUAUUGCUUAGCGGUUAAGACCUAUAAAAGGCUAAAACAAGCCUUGCAACGAAGAUGGAUCGGGGUCUCUAGCUUAAAUAAUUUACUUAGAACGUGAUUUCGCGUUCCCAGAUAUUUAUAUAUUCCGAACCUUCUUACACAUGAUCCUAAUUUAACUACGAAUUUACUUUGCAAAUUCAGUUAUAAUAUAACACCGUCUGUACAGACAUACAUACCAACAUUGUUACCAACAUAUACUAUGCUAAUUAAACAACCAUAUAUAACUUGGUUUAACCAUGAAAAUCUAAUACUUGAGAACCACAAAAUAUUCAAAAAGGUCUUAUGUACAUUUGUUUUGAACGAUACCCAGCUGAUUAUUGUUCACAAAUAAAGCUGCAGAAUGCAUGAAAGACCCAUGAAAUGAUAAACAGUGAAACAAUAUGAACAACAUUUCCCAUAAACAAAGGACCACCAAAAAGAAAAAAGAGUCAGUAACACACUGCACUCCAGUUAUAAUUUGCUACAACUGAAAAAAAAUCAAGCUGUCGAGUUCUUUCUUGUCCAAAAGGGGUGUCAAUUUCGGGUAACGGAUCGUGUUCGUCUUAGCAAUCGGGUCGAUUUUGACUUUUGAGUUGAUUUCGGGCAAAGCUAAAAUCACUUAAAAUUAAAUAAAACUGAAAAUUGAAGUUAUUAGAAACGAAAUUCUAAUUUCGGGGCAUUUUGGGUCCAUUUUAUGUCAAUCGAGUGAUUUCGAGUCAUUUUCGAAUUUUGUCUCAGUAAAUCGGAUUGCAGACCUGGGUCGAGUUCGAGUCACGUUGUCUGAUAUUGUCACACUUGUUUACCUUUUCUGAUGGAAAAAUAAAAGCAGCAAAAACAGUUGAGUACUUCCACAUGCGAUUCUACUAUAUGAAAGAUGUACUCACAUGCUGACAUGCAUUAUUGUCACCAACAUGUAUAUAUCUAAAUAUUUACCAAAUAAACUCUUGGAGGAGUGGAGAUAUAAUGCUUUAUAAAAUUAGCAUGACCCUGAUUUAAAAACAUUUGGAUCGCCUCAAUUUCAGCCGACUCAAUCUGCUUCUAACUAUUCCUCCAAUAAUAGUAAGAGCUUCAGUUAUAACAACUCUUGUUUUCAGGUCAAAUAAUAUACAAAGGUUCCAUAACUUUGUUACAUGGACAUAUGGCUGUGAAUAUAUGUACAGGGAAAACGUCAAAGCAGCCGGCAGCUUCUCGGUAACAACCAAUUAUCUGGCUUGUUAUACCGGCAGAUAUCGGAUUUUUCGUUUAAAUACCCGAAUUUAGAAUUAAAUUAUUUAAGAUAAUCUUAAAUAAGUGUCAGAGUCUAUAUAUAAAUUAAUUUCGAGGACACACAUAUAUAUAUAUAUUACUAAAAUAUAAUUGAAUUUAGUAACGGAAACAUAUCUGUUGUUAAAGACUGACGAAAUUAAUAAUAACGACUUAUGAGAAGAGUUUCGAUGAUGUUACUUGCAACGUUUUGCUAAUGAUUUACCGACAUUACAUUAUCUACUAAUAGAAUCCAACCCAUCGCUAAUAUUGAAGGUAAUUAAUUUGAGCGGUGUAUUAAUUUAAGCAAAUGAAAGCGUAUUUGUUGUGAUGUUAGUAAUGUAGCAGGUGACUUGUGAUGAGAGAAGUGUAAAAUAUGAAAGUGACCCUAACAUUGUAUUUUAAUGAUUGGUAUUUUUGUGUUUGGUAUCCCAGCUGUAUGCGGAGAAGAAAGAAGCCAAUUUGGAUGAACAAUUGACUCUACUAAUCAAAUAGUAAUCACUAUUUGAAUUGGUCCCUAAUGACAGCUCUGUCCUAACGACUAUCCCUUGCUAGCUUUUUGCUAUAUAAACUUCCACAUUGUACCACUAAAGUCAUCAACUCUUAACCUCUAAAGGGGUUCUUUCUUAAAUCAUUCCCCUUCUGCUUCUGUUCAUAAACGAGAUUUUUGACAUCAUUGGCCGGAAGUAGUAAAUUUUCCGGCGGAAAAUGAGAGAUCACGGCAGCCACCCCAUAAGGGGUGGACUGGUUGUAUUGUGCUUAGUAGUAGUGUCAAGCAUUAUGGGAGCCUCAGGGGAUCCCUACAUUUAUUCUUCACCACCUCCUCCGUAUGAGUAUAAGUCUCCACCGCCACCUUCGCCUUCGCCACCACCUCCUUAUGUGUAUAAAUCCCCACCACCUCCGGUGCAUUCUCCUCCACCACCCCCAAUGCAUUCUCCUCCACCACCGUAUGAGUACAAAUCACCACCACCCCCGGUGCACUCACCACCUCCUCCGUAUGAGUAUAAAUCACCACCACCCCCGGUGCAUUCUCCUCCUCCGCCCUAUGAGUACAAGUCACCACCACCUCCGGUGCACUCACCACCUCCUCCAUAUGAGUACAAAUCACCACCACCUCCGGUGCAUUCUCCACCUCCACCAUAUGAGUAUAAAUCACCACCACCACCUUCACCAUCCCCACCACCACCAUAUGUGUACAAGUCUCCACCACCACCCGUCAAAUCCCCACCUCCACCAUACCACUACUCAUCACCACCACCACCCGUAAAAUCCCCACCUCCACCAUACCACUACUCCUCCCCACCACCACCUGUAAAAUCACCUCCUCCACCUUAUCAUUACUCAUCUCCACCACCACCAGUCAAAUCCCCACCACCACCAUACCACUACUCAUCACCUCCACCACCCGUAAAAUCACCACCUCCACCAUACUACUACAAGUCCCCACCACCUCCAGUUAAAUCCCCACCACCACCAUACUACUACCAUUCUCCUCCUCCCCCAGUGAAGUCACCACCUCCACCAUACCACUACAACUCUCCUCCACCACCCAAGCAUUCUCCACCACCACCUUACUACUACAAGUCUCCACCACCCCCCGUCAAGUCACCACCCCCACCAUACUACUAUCACUCUCCACCACCCCCAAUGAAGUCACCACCCCCACCAUACUACUACAGCUCACCACCACCACCCGUCAAGUCCCCACCACCACCAUACUACUACAGUUCACCACCACCACCGGUGAAAUCCCCGCCACCCCCAUACUACUACACAUCCCCACCACCACCAGUGAAAUCUCCACCACCUCCUUACUAUCCUCACCCUCAUCAUCACUCAUACACCGUGAAGGUAGUAGGAAAGGUUUACUGUUACAGAUGCUACGACUGGAAGUACCCAAUCAAGUCCCAUGCAAAGAUGCACCUAAAAGGUAACUUUUUUUCUAUUUUAUCAAUUAUUUAAUACACAUAAUUACCUCCUAGUUACAUUCUUCAGUCUUAAGUAUAUAUGUUUUUUCAGUUAUAUACACGCUCCUCUUUAAUAAUUUAGCUUUCUUACUGAUCAUUGCUUAUUAUAUUGUCCACGCACAUGCAUGCUAGCUAGCUCAUACUACACUCAUUUUCCUUUUCCUUGCUCUUUCUUAAUGUGGAAAUCCUAAUACCCUAGUGAGCUUAAUUAUUAUCACCAGAUCACUUCUAAAAUGUAAAGUUAAUCAUGCUUUUAUAAUGAACUAAUAUGCUUCAUUUAUUAUUAAUCACUUUGGUUUCUUUUUAUGUGACACUGUGAUUUACAUGCAUUCUAUAUAGUUCCGGCCACCUAGUACACUUUAAUGAGCUUGAUUAAUAUCAGAUCAUCUUCCUAUAAAAAGUUAAAUCAUGAUUUAUGAAUUAAUUAAUAUCCAUAACGACCAUAUGUCAUAACAGCUUUAUGUUGUAAAGCGAAAGAAAAGAAGGGCUGGACACCAUUAUAUAAUAGGACAGAUUCGAUCUGGCUAGCACCCACCCGAUCCACAUUGUUCAAUAAAAGACAUGCAUAUUUUUAUCUAUAAUCCACCAAUGAAAUUCUUGAUUUAUGCACCAAAAUUGGACGUAUAUAAUUUGUUCCCUUAUAUCUUUAUUUAGAUUAUAUCUUUAUAUAGAUUAGUGUAUAGUUUAAUAAUAUUAUUUCAAAUAUAUAUUUAAUAUUUUUCCCACCGGGUGUUACAUCUUUUACAUAUAAGCAUGUUAUAUAAUAAUAUAAUAUAAAGAUUUUUAACUUACUUUAAUUUUGGUAUAUGUCAAGCAUAUGCCAAUGAUGUUGCAUAUUAGAUUAAUUAGUAAAGAGAUAUGUCCUUUCAAAGAAUAAAUUAUAAUUAAAAUUGACAUGCUAGUCUUCUAUAUACUGUUAAGAUGUCUACAUACAGAGAAACUUCAUACCACACAUAGUCCAACGAUUGAUCUCUGAUUUGAAAAUAUAGAACGUGUAUUUAUUCUUAUUUGAAAAACGUGGCAACUAGAUCAGAGUUGGAAGCUAAGAUAAUAUAUAUUAGUACAAACAACUCACAAAGGAUAAGAGGACAAAAUGACUUAUUAUUAAAAAAAACUGAAUUAGGUAAAGACUGUAUUUAUUUAAGAUUUUGUCAAUAAAGUGGUUGUAAUAAUUCAACAUGUGGAAACAGGUGCUGUGGUUGAGGUGACAUGCAAGGCAGGAGACAAAGAUGUGGUGGCUUAUGGUAAGACAAAGAUCAAUGGUAAAUACAGCAUCACGGUUAAAGGAUUUGAGUACGGAAAGUAUGGUGGAGCCAAGGCAUGCAAAGCUAAGCUCCAUAUGGCGCCCAAGGAUUCUAAAUGUAAUAUUGCAACAAAUCUUCAUUGGGGCAUUAAGGGUGCUAAACUCAAAGUGAAAUCUAAGAGCAAAUAUGAAGUUGUUUUGUCUGCUAAGCCAUUUGCAUAUGCUCCCAAGACUCCUUACAAGAAGUGUUACAAGCCUGCACCAACACCAGCUCCGGUGACUCCGGUGACACCGCCUUAUUAUUAUAAGUCUCCACCACCGCCACCCAAGUCUCCCGCACCAACUCCUUAUUAUUACAAAUCUCCACCACCGCCAUCUAAAUCUCCGGCACCAACUCCUUACUACUACAAGUCUCCACCACCACCGCCUAAAUCUCCCACGCCAACACCUUACUACUACAAGUCUCCUCCCCCACCAACAAAAUCUCCGGUUCCAGCUCCUUAUUACUACAAAUCUCCCCCACCACCAACUAAGUCUCCCACUCCGGCUCCUUAUUACUACAAGUCCCCACCACCACCUUCACCAUCACCACCACCUCCAUACUACUACAAAUCACCACCACCACCUGUCAAGUCUCCCACUCCCGCUCCUUAUUACUACAAGUCCCCACCACCGCCGUCACCAUCUCCACCACCUCCAUACUACUACAAAUCACCACCACCACCCGUGAAAUCUCCAACUCCAACUCCUUACUACUACAAGUCUCCACCCCCACCGUCACCAUCUCCUCCCCCACCAUACUACUACAAAUCACCACCACCACCCGUGCAUUCACCUCCACCACCUUACUACUACAAAUCACCACCCCCGCCAGUGCACUCACCUCCACCACCCUACUACUACAAAUCACCACCACCUCCUUCGCCAUCUCCUCCACCACCAUAUUACUACAAGUCCCCACCUCCACCAAGUCCAUCCCCUCCACCUCCAUACCAUUACUCAUCACCUCCACCACCUGUGAAAUCCCCACCACCUCCAUAUCAUUAUUCCUCACCCCCACCACCUGUCAAAUCCCCGCCACCUCCAUAUCAUUAUUCGUCACCCCCACCACCAGUGAAAUCCCCGCCACCUCCAUAUCAUUAUUCGUCACCCCCACCACCAGUGAAAUCCCCGCCACCUCCAUAUCAUUAUUCGUCACCCCCACCACCAGUGAAAUCCCCGCCACCACCAUAUCAUUAUUCAUCACCACCACCCCCCGUCAAAUCCCCACCACCUCCUUACCAUUACUCUUCACCACCACCACCAGUAAAAUCUCCACCACCUCCAUAUCAUUAUUCAUCACCUCCACCACCAGUGAAAUCCCCACCACCUCCAUACCACUAUACGUCACCACCACCUCCAGUAAAAUCACCACCACCCCCAUAUCAUUAUUCAUCACCUCCACCACCCGUGAAGUCCCCACCACCACCAUACCACUAUUCUUCACCACCACCACCAGUAAAAUCCCCACCUCCUCCAUACCAUUACUCAUCACCUCCCCCACCUGUGAAAUCACCACCCCCUCCAUACCACUACUCUUCACCACCACCACCAGUCAAAUCCCCACCUCCUCCAUACCACUACUCUUCACCUCCACCACCGGUGAAAUCUCCACCUCCCCCAUACCACUACUCAUCUCCACCACCGCCAGUGAAAUCACCUCCACCACCGUACCACUACUCAUCUCCACCACCUCCCGUGAAAUCCCCACCUCCACCGUACCACUACUCAUCACCUCCACCACCCGUAAAAUCACCACCUCCUCCAUACCACUACUCAUCACCACCACCGCCAGUGAAGUCACCUCCUCCCCCAUACCACUACUCAUCACCACCACCACCAGAAAAAUCACCACCCCCACCAUACCACUACUCAUCUCCCCCACCCCCAGAGAAAUCUCCGCCCCCACCUUACCAUUACUCAUCCCCUCCACCACCCGUAAAAUCCCCACCUCCCCCAUACCACUACUCAUCCCCACCACCACCCGUGAAGUCUCCACCUCCCCCGUAUCACUAUUCCUCACCCCCACCGCCAGUGAAAUCACCUCCUCCCCCAUACGUCUAUUCAUCACCACCCCCAC
rnacentral:lncRNA from 1 species